AAAGCAGCUAAAUCAGAGCCUAUGACUUUUAAAGCCAGUGGAAGACCUUUGGCGUAAUCUACAGCACGCACAGACACAUCUUCAAAACCUGUUUUAGGAUAACUUUGUCUGAAGGCAUUCCAACAAAAUAGCUCUAAAGAAUGUUGGUCAUCAAGUUCUUUCAUUUCAUAAAUAUUUCCAACUUGGUGAGCAAUUAACACAUCUUUUUCCCUUGUCGUUACAAUGAUCCUACUACCUGAACCAAACCAAUUACACCCUCCUGCCAACUUUUCUAACUGAUCUUUAUCACCAACGUCAUCAAGAACCAAAAGAACUUUCUUUUUCUGAAGCUUUUCUUUUAUUUCACGCAUUCCUUUACUUGUGCUUCCCAAUUCAGUUUCCAACCCCUCCAACAUCUCAGAUAAAAGUGUCUUUUGUAGAUCUUCCAUGCCAUUGAUUCUGUUUGAUUUUUCUCUAACAUCGGAAAGAAAACUUGCAGCAUCAAAGUGUUGCACAAUUUUGUUAUACAAAGCUUUGGCAAGUUCCGUUUUUCCAAUUCCACCAAGUCCAUAUAUGCCCAACAUUCUUACAGUUUUAUCAUCAGACUUCAUGUCCAAAAGUGACAUAACUUCUUCUAUGCAGGCCUCAAGGCCAACAGGGUUUUGACCACUAUAUAAAGGUUUAGGAGUUAUAUAUUCCUUGACCUUCCCAACAAUUUCUUCAAUACAAUAGCUUUCAUCAUCCCUAUGAGAGUAGAGUAGAAUGUAAUAAUUAAUUAUUUGUUUGAUAUCAUGAUUUUUUUAUUAUUGUACUAAGUGAUUGUGAUUAUUGUAAUAGAUAGUAAGCAAUGAUACUAAUAGCAAGUAGCACAAAAGAAUAAUGAUUACACAUUAUACAAAAUUUACUGGAGAUGAAAAAGUUAAAGAAAUUUUAUUCUAAACAAAAAAUUCAAUAAUUUAUAAAAAAAUACCUAAAUAUAAUAUCAAAUUCAAAUAAAAAAUGGAUUUUUUUCAACUUUGUUUAUUAGUUUUUUUAUGUUUUAAAUUGUUUUUUAUAAUGUUCAGAAUUAUACUUUAUGACUAACAAAAUCAAUUAACACCCUGAAAAAAUCUAAAAUUUAAGAUGUGGAAUAUUAUAUAUAAGAAACUACACAUGAUAUAAAUAAUAUUACAUCCCAUUAUAAUUAAGAUGUAGAAUAUUAUAUUUAACAAACUACACGUGAUAAAAACAAUAUUACAUACCAUAAAGUAUAUUACAUGAAUCAUUUUUGUUUGUGAAAAGUAAAGUUCUACAUAAGAUCAACUUACUUUUGGUUUUUAACCUUUUAAAAAAGGUUAUAAUUAUUUUUUUAACUAAAAUCAUAUUUUUUGGAUGAGAGAAAAAUUAAGAGAGGAAAAGUAUUUUUUCUUUUAAAUUUCCCUUACCAAUUGUAUUUUUUUUUAUAUCUAAGAAAAGGUAAGUCUUAUGAUAGUGAUGUUAGUAAUGACUUCCAGCAAAGUUCGAAUAUGAGAAAUGCAUUUAAUAUUAAGGACUUGGAUCAAUAAACAAGAUUUUAGAAAUAAAAAUUCAUCGAGAUAGAAAAGAUAGAAAUGUUUUACUUUCUUAGAAUUAAAUAUUAAUGGUAAGUAAAACAAUACUCACCUACGAGCACAAUGCUUAAAAAAAUCUAAGAAAGUGUUGAAGGAACCCAAGAGAACAACAUGGUACUCAUUGAGAAAAUAUUGUUAGAGUCUAAGGUGUUCAAUAAACGCAAUUGAUGGUGGAAGUGAGAAACAACCAAGGUACAAAAAGACAAUCGAGACUCUUUAUGCUAUGUGUGAAAGAACCUACUACAACAACGUUAAUUGAGGUUAACAAUUCAUACAAUUAUAAACUUGUACCUGACUCUGCUAUUAAUAAUAGAAAUAGACUAUUUUUGGUUACGAAAUGGAAGUGUAGAGGCUAUUAGGUUAUGCGAAUUGGGUUAGGAAAUCAAAAUUACAUUUACAGAGUAGGAUGAAAAUAUUUUAAAGAUGAUUGAGAAAACAAAGGAAAGAGAAUGCAAAACGAAAAUAUUAAAGGAAGAGAAAAGACAAUCCAAUUAAUGAAGAUAAUAUGUUUAAACAUUAUAGGAGAAUUGAUUAAUAAGGAGGAGGUUGGGGUAGUGUUCUUACAAGAAACCAAAUUAGAAAUAGUCAAUAAAGAAAGAUGCUACAAUAUAAGAAACAAUGAUACAGAAUGGGAACAUUUUGUAGUUGUAAAUGGGGUACAUGAAAUUUUAAUUAAGUGGCAUAAGAAUACUUUCAUAUGUGACAUGUUGGGUAUAAAGCCAGAUCAAUUGGGUUGGGCUGACUAGACACCAUGUUUAGUGAGUGAGCUUAAUCAUUGUGUCCCUUUUAUAAUCUAUAUUUAAAGAGAUCAUUGUACUUGUAAUUGGUGUACAACCAGACAGAAAUGAAAACCUAAUAGUUGUCGGUGUGGGUGUAGGUUGCAGUUGGCGACCGAACCACGUUAAAUCUUGUAUUGUUUAUUUUCUGCAGUUGAUUCGUGAUUAUGUGUGUUGCUUCUGCUUGCGUUUUUUCCCAUCAAGUGGUAUCAAGAGCUUUGGUUCGUUUACACACUAGAGAUCCGAUCAGCAGAAAUUAAUCGACGAGACGUGAAAAUUGCGGCUGCAGUAGCGUCCUAAAGCUAGGGUUUCACAAAGGCGAGAUUAACGUUCCAAAGUUAGGGUUUCGCAAGGGUUGAAGUAGCGUCUCAAAGCUAGGGUUUCACAAAGGCGACAACAACGUCCCAAAGCUAGGGUUUCAUAGGCGCAAUAGCGUCCCAAAGUUAGGGUUUCGCAGAGGCGACAACAACAUUCCUAAGCUAGGGUUUCACAGGGACUGCAACGUUCCUAAGCUAGGGUUUCGCAAGGGCUGCAGCGACGUCCCAAAGUUAGGGUUUCACGGUGGCCCAGGAUUCGCGACAGCCUAGACCUGCGACUCGCGGCAGGUGUGCAAUGGUGUGGAUCGCUACAAGAGUGGUGGCGGCUCGUGACGUUGUGCAGAUGGCUUGCUCGUAGUAGGGUCGUGUCCAGGCAAUGCGGUGGAGUGUGCUAAUGUGACGACAGAUCGCGUUUCGCGGCGAACAGGUGCAGGUGCUUAUGGUGAGCGAGACGACACGAAGGUGCAGUGCGAUGGCAGUGACGGAAGACGCAGGGUGGCACGUACAUUUUUCUGCUGGUGCAGCAGUGACGGUGCGGUGCUAGGCGCGGGUGUGGCUGGUUUUUGCUGCGGCACGAAGUUAAGACAAUUCAGUUACUGAACACAUUAAUAAAAUGAAUUCGAUCUUAGCCAAACUUAUGUCAGUGGGCAUUAAGUUCGAUGAUGAAGUUCAAGCUUUACUACUGCUAUUGUCUUUGCCUGACAGUUGGUCCGGAAUGGUUACAACAGUUACCAGUUCAGUAGGAUCCGAUGGAUUCACUUUUGAGAAGAUUUGUGAUCUCAUUCUUGGCGAGGAUGUCCGAAGAAGGAGUUUUGGGGAAUUAGCUAGUGAAUCACUAUAUGUCAUCAGAGGUAAGAAAAAUAUCAAAGAUAGUGGGAGCAAGAACAAAAAAAGGAGUCAGUCAAAGACUCGGGAUUGCUCAAGUGUAACAUGUUGGAACUGCAAGGAGGUGAGGCAUUUCAGGAAUCAAUGCCCAAAUGAUAAAUAAGUCAACAUUGCAGAAGACUUCGUGGACGAGGACCUUUUAGCUUGUUGUGCGGAUUGAAGUGUGGAUUUCUAGGUCAUGGAUUCUGAAGCAUUGCAAAAUCUAGUUAUUGGAGACUUUGGAAAGGUAAGACUAGCAGACAACAAAACUCUUGAUGUUACGGGCAUGGGUGACAUAAUGUUGAAGACACUAGUUCGUUUCUAGACUUUGAAGGAUGUCAGAGUUGUUCUAAGCUUGACGAAAAGUUUGAUUUCUGUUAGGCAAAUGGACGAACAGGGACAUGAAGUGAAGUUCGAAAAUCAGCAGUGGAAGGUCGUCAAGGGAAAUCUUGUCAUAGCCUGCAGAAGAAAGAGAGGUUCGUUGUAUAUGGUCGGAUUACCUUCUAAGGGAGUGACCAUCCCAGUUCAGAAGAUAAACAAAGUUUGGUUCACAAAAUCUCGUGGGCAGAAGAGGGUCGUCUUUACAAGAGAGAAACCCAGAGCCACAGGUCAGAUUCAGGAUGAACGAGCAUGGAAAGGUUCAGGUAGACCAGUCAGAGGUACUUAUGGUAGUGGGAGCACGGGUCGUGCUUCAGUAGAGGUUCCUAGACGACAGUGGGUUAGUGAUUGACGUGUUGAAACUUAGGGGAGUUUUAACGAAGUCUUCUAAAUGAUUAAGAAAGUUGGUGGCAACUAGAGGUGGAACAUUGAAUUUCGUCGACAGAUUACAAAAGUACAUGUACACAGUUGAAGCGCAGGUGAACAUUGUUUCGUGACUUCAAGUGGGAGAUUGUUAGGUAUGAAGUCAAAACCAAUUGGGUUGGGCUGACUAUACAUCAUGUUUAGUGAGUGGGCUUAAUCAUUGUACACAGUUGAAGCGCAGGUGAACAUUGUUCCGUGGCUUCAAGUGGGAGAUUGUUGGGUAUGAAGCCAAGACCAAUUGGGUUGGGCUGACUAGACACCAUGUUUAAUGAGUGGGCUUAAUCACUGUAUCCAUUUUAUAAUCUCUAUUUAAAGAGAUCAUUGUACUUGUAAUUGGUGUGCAAUAGGACAGAAAUGAAAACCUAAUAGUUGUCUGUGUGGAUGUAGGUUGCAGUUGGCGACCGAACCACAUUAAAUCCUGUGUUAUUUAUUUUCUGCAGUUGAUUCGUGAUUAUAUGUGUUGCUUCCAUGUGAUUUUUUCCCAUUAAAACAUUGGUUAGAAAUACAAGUUUUUUUAGGAGUUAAAGAAAGCUAGAAAAAGAAUAAUAGGUCAAUAGUAAUAGUGAAUGUGUACUCCCUUGUAACUAUAGUGAUAAGAUAGUAAUGUUGGAUGAAAUAGCAAGAUUAAGAUAGGAAGAAGAAUGCAAAAUCUAGUGUGUAUUGGAGAAUUUUGACGGAAUAUGAAAUUUAGAUGAAAGAAGAGGUAUAAAUCAAGAUGGUAGAGGUUAGAGGGAUACAAUAGAAAUUAAUGAAUUUAUAGAAAACACUGAAAUCAUGGAUAGUAGUUAGAAAAUUUACUUCGUAUCCAAAUGGAAUUGCAAAAAGUAGGUUUCACAAAAUUUUAUUCAGGAGAGCGUUAGAUCAUUGUGUUAUGGUGUUAAAUUCCAUACAAAUAUAUUGGGAUUUGAAUCCAUGACCUUGUAAUGUAUGGAUGCACUAGUAAAGAGUCCACGAAAGAAUAGCGGUGUUAGUGGAUGUGGUAUGGUCACUAAAAUAAACAUACAAUCGAGGGUCAAAAUCCAUAAAAAAGACCAAAAUUUCAUCAAUAAUAUGGUUGUCAGUAAAUUUACCAGCAGAAAAAGUUCUGUCAAUAAUUAUUAAUAUUAUUAAUUAUUAUUUUAAAAAUAAUAUUUAUCUUUAACAAAUUAUAUUAUUAUUAUUAUUUCUAAUUAUAUUAGCACAUUAUUAUUUUGUUGCAAGUGGGACUUAAAACUGAGGAUUAGUGGUAGGAGAGUCUCUAACCACUUGAAUAAAGUGAUGUCAUUGUAAUAUUUUGAUUUUUAUUAUGUUAUUAAUAAUAAUAAUAAUAUUAAAAAUAAUAAUAAUAAUAUUAUUAUUAUGAAUAUUAUUGUAAUUAUUAUUAUUAAUAUAUUAUAAUUAUUGUAGUCAUUAUUAAUAUUAAUAUUGUUAGUAUUAUAAUUACAAAUAUAAAACUAAUAAUAAUAGUGGUAAUAAUUACAAUAAUAAUAAUAUUAUUAAUAAUAAAAUUACUAAUAAUAUUAAUACUAACAUUAUUAUUAAUCUUAAUAUUAAUAAAAUUAAUAAUAUUUAAUAAUUACAAUAAUAAUAAUAAUAAAAUAUUAAUAAUUAUAAUAUUAAUAUUAAUAAUAUGAAUAAUAAUUAUAGUAAUAAUUCUAAAUGUUACUAUUACUAAAAUUCACAAUAAUUUCAAUAAUUAUAAUAAUUUGAUAUUAUUACUAACACUACAAGAAAAUCAUGAAAUAGAAAUCAAUUUUAGAAACAAAAAAUAAUUAGUUGCUAUAGUGACUAAAUUAGAGACCAUUUUAGGGACUAAAUAAUUUUUUGGUUUCUAAAUUAGUUUCUAUUAUUGUUAAAUGGUUUUUAAAUUGGUAUCUAAUUAGUAACCAACUUUUUUGCUACCAAAUUUAAAAUCUAAAUAAUUGGUAGUUAGAAUUUUGGUUGCUAAUUAGAUACCAAUUUAGAAACUAUUUAAAUAUAAUAGAAACUAAUUUAGAAAUCAUUUUUUUUAGUUUCUAAAAUGGUCUAUAAUUUAGUUACUAUUGCAACUACUUAUUUUAGUCUCUAAAAAGGUUUCUAAUUUAGUUACUAUUGCAACUAAUUAUUUUAAUCUCUAAAAAUUGGUUUCUAUUUGAUGAUUUUCUUGUAGUGUAAAUUCAAUAUUAGGCUAAGUAACAUUCUCUUCUAUUUCUAUUAGUGAUAAUAUAGUCCUAACAAGUGAGUUCACAUAACUAGAAAUUAAGAAAGCAAUAGACAGUGUAAGAGUGAUUAAAUUUUGGGCAAUGGCUAUAAAAUUGGCUUUACAAAGAAAUUAUGGGAGGUUGUAAAAGUAAAAAUCAUACCAUCUACCCAUUCUUUCAAACUCCUUAGUUGGGUGUAUGUAUAAGAUAAUAUGUAAAGUGUUGUCUAGUAGGUUAAAACAUAUCUAUCUAAGAUGAUUGAGAGCUACUAAUCAACAUUCAUGAUGAAGUAUUUGAUUAAAGAAAACAAGUAAAAUAGAUGCAAUGAUGACGAAUGAAUGGAAAGAGGAGGAUGGGGAAUUUUACAAUGUAAAUUACAAAAAGUUAUAACAUAUUUGUAAGAAGAAAGACUCUAACAUGUUUAAUCUUUUCUAGAAGGUGAAGAUGCUACCCUCAAUACAACAUUUUGCAUGGAAGGUAAUAAAUAUUAAAUCGUGUAGCAACAAAACAAAAGAAAAUUGGAGGAGUAAGGGAGUAAUGAUAGAUAAUGUUUUUUGCCCUAUGUGCAUAUUAAUGGAGCAAUUCGUUAACCAUUUAUUCUUCAGAUGUAACAUUGUACGUUGUGUGAAAUAUGUGCAACAACUAGGUUGGAGUAAGUACUCUUAUCACUACAAAAAAAAAUCAGUAUUAUUUAUGCAUUUUUACCCAUGAAUCUGAACCCGUAGGUAAAUUCAACAUUAUCUACAUAUAUUACCCAUGGAUAUUACUCACAGAUUCUUAGUCUGUAGGUAAAUUCAACAUUACUUACUAAUUAUUACCCACAAAUCUUAUUACCUACCAACUUUUACCUACGGAUCUCUAUUACCUACCAACUAUUAUCAUAAUAAUUACAUACAUAAAUUAAAAAUAUUAAUAUAAUAUGAAGCAUUAUAAAAUCAUAAUUAAUAUUCAUAAAUAAUAAUAACCAUAACUAAUUUAUACAUAUUUUUAAUAUUAUAAAAUUAAUAAUAUUAAUAAUAUUAAUAAUAUUAACAAUAUUUAAUAAUAUUAACAAUAUUUAAUAAUAUUUAACAAUAUUAAUAAUAUUAAUAAUAUUAAUAAUAUUAACAAUAUUAACAAUAUUAAUAAUAUUUAACAAUAUUAAUAAUGUUAAUAAUAUUUAACAAUAUUAAUAAUGUUAAUAAUAUUAAUAAUAUUAAUAAUAUUAAUAAUAUUUAACAAUAUUUAACAAUAUUAAUAAUAUUUAACAAUAUUUAAUAAUAUUAACAAUAUUAAUAAUAUUAACAAUAUUUAACAAUAUUAAUAAUAUUAAAAAUAUUUAACAAUAUUAAUAAUAUUAAAAAUAUUUAACAAUAUUAAUAAUAUUAAUAAUAUUUAACGAUAUUAAUAAUAUUUAACGAUAUUAAUAAUAUUUAACGAUAUUAAUUAUAUUUAACAAUAUUAAUAAUAUUUAAUAAAUGAUAUUAAAUAUAUGAAUAAUGUUAUUAAUUUUUAUUUUAUUAAUUAUUUUAAUAUUGAUAAUCAUACUCAUAAAUAUAAUAAUAAUCAUAACAUGAUAACAAAACUUGACUGGUGGAAUGGUUAAAUCUUCUAUGAAUAUUUUUUCAAGGAACUUGAAAUCACCUGCACCUGCAGUUUAGUUCUAACAUUAAUUAUAACAUUUAUUAUUUAAAAUUUUAAUUAAUUGGGAGAUAUUAGUGUAUAUAUGCCCAACAACUUGCAUAAUAAUUUUCUUUCCCUCAAAGUUGUCACUCUUCCAUUGAAUCAUUGUUGUCAAGUUAAUUAUUUUUUUAUUUUUUAUUUAUUUUUAUUUAUUUUUUCCUGACCAAUUCGCCCCGCUCCAUCGCUGACCCGCGCGGAUCGUGGAUUAUACGGGACGGGCUAAUGUGGAUUAGCGGAUUGAAAACGUCAAUCCGCCCUGCAUUUUUUGCCGUAGACCGACCCGUAUAACCCGUUCCACUUUGUCACCCCUAAAUGGAGUCUAGACCUAAAUGGAGUAUAGUGAUCAUGCAUUCUUAUAGGAGGAACAGUAAAUUGAUUAUCUGAGUUUGAUAAUGUUAUAAUUUUGUCUAGUACAAAAAUUGAAAACAUGCGAACUAUCCAAACAUAGGUCACUAACCAAAGAACUAAAACAUAAACAACAAAAAGAUUAUUUUAUUCUGAUAGUCAAAAUCCAUUACACAUAACAAUAAAUCUGGUCUUUUAUUUCAAAACAAAACACAUAGUUAUGCAUCGUUCGAUACUAUUAUUUUCUAUUUAGAUUUAUAAACAAAUAUUAUAAUUUUAUUUCUUUCACUAAAGUAACAUUAUUAUUUUUUAUUCGAGAUUUGGGAUGAAAAAGAAAUAAGAUUGAAUGGUUUGUUAUACAUACCCGGUGGUAAUAUGCUUCCCUGGGAAGUCAACUGCUUGAGACAAGGCUGACCUCCAAGCCUGCAUCUGUGAUUCUUUUGCAAUGUCAUUUUCAUGUGCCUUCAUGUGUUUUCCGAAGCUAUUUCUCUCGUGCCGUAUAUCUGAGGGAUCUACAUGGUAAAACACUGGGUAAACAAGCUGCUUCUUCUCCUUCAUUUUGCUUCGUUCUAUGAUCCUAACAAGUUCAUCCAGACACCAUCUGGAAGAUGCAUAGUUCUCAGAAAACACAACGAUGAAAAUCUUAGAUUCUUCAAUGGCCUUCGACAGAUCAGGUGGAAGACUUUCCCCUGUCCUCAUAUUCUUAUCAUCAUUGAAACUUUUUAUUCCCUUCCCAUCUAACUCUCUACGCAGAUGCCCUAUAAAAUUGUUCCUUGUAUCUUCUCCUCUAAAACUGAUGAACACAUCAUAGGUGAAACCAAGACGCUCUUCUUCCUCACCAUGUUCUCCCAUGCUACAAACACACCAAAACUACACUAUGGAUUCUCAACUACUUUCAUCAAUUUAGUGUGUUCUGAUUAAAUACACUUUCUUUCGCGGAUACACGCUUUCAUGUAUCAGUGAAUUAAGCUUCUUAAUUAUAGGGGUUGACCAAGAAGAUGAAGAACAUGGGAUAUAAUUAUUACAACUACCAAACAUGAUGCCUCGAUCUUGAAAAUAAAGAUGAUGGGAACACAAGUAAUUCACGUGGUGCAUAUUUAAUGUGGUUUAUAUUGUACAGAAUUGGAUUCCUGUGUAUAAAAAAAUAUAGCGUUCAUAUUUAUGUGUAUUUAAUUAAAUUUAUAAUAUUGUUUUUCUAUUUUAUAAUAUUGGAUUCCCUUGUAUAAAAAUGUUUUCUUUUACGUUUUUUCGGUUUUUUUUUUCUGGUCAAAGUUGCAAACUUUAAUUAUCUCUGUCAUUCUUUCAUUUCUUUUGCCAAAAUGCUUUCUCUUGCAUCUUUUUCAUUUUUUUAUUUUUGGUUCUCUGUUUUUGUUAUUCUUUGGCGUUUGUCAAAAUAUUUUCUCUUACGUUUUCCCCAUUUUUUUUCUUAUGAUUCUUUGUUUUUUUUUUUUUAAUUUUCAUUGUUCUACGCAAACUUUGAUCAUUCUAUGCCAUCCUUUAUUUUUUGUUUGUGAAUUAUUACUGAAAAUUGUAGGUAAGCUGUAUUUUGGUGAUACGAACAAGAUUAAAUGUAAUCAAUAUUUUGUUGAUCAUAAGCAAAUGUUGUUCAAUGAAUAUUUGUUAUUAUGUUAAUUUUGAUGUAUUUUGUUAAUUAUGUUACUAAUGUCGAGUUAUUUAUAAUUUUAUUCGUUUUCUCCAUAAAAAUUUAAAAAAUGUAUUUAUACUAACUGUUGGUGUAACAUCCCUAAAUUUACCCAUAUAUAUAUAUAUAUAUAUAUAUAUAAUAAAAUAAUAGUAAAACAAACAAUAUUUAAUUAACAAAUAAACAUAUACUACUUGUUGAUAUUUGUAUCUCAAAAAUAUAUACAUCAAAAGUUUAAAAACAAAACACAGCAAAGCAUUCAAUUUAAAUCUAUCUAAUCCUCCUUCUGCUCACUGAGGAGCUCUAUUACCUACAACUUCAUCUGCUCCCGUGUAAAUUAACACGAUCAUCACAGAUUAAAGAAAACAAAAACAAACAAAUAACAUGGUAAGCUAGUUAUAUAAAACAAAAUUCUAUAAAAUUUCAAUUUGAAAUUUAUAAAACAUAAAUCAUCAAGUCUCGUACAAAUUCUCAAAUCAUCAAGUGUCUAUUAAAAUUCAACAUUCAUCUUUCAUAUGUCAGACUUCCACUGACUAAUAUAACAUAGACACUUGAUUCUACUUCUGAAAGACUCGUGUAUUGAAAUUAGCAUCCAGAGACCUGCACCUGUCAUACUACUGCUGUGAAAUCCACACAGUCAUGCGCAUAAUUAUCUCAAUAUCUCAUCCACUCAUAUGACAGGGUAAAUUCAUAUGACCUGAAAGAUCAGGUUCUAUUUCAAACCCCAGACAUAAUCAUAUGAACCUCCAUCGACUCUCACCAACUGAAUAACUUCAUCUAUGUUAUUCCAUUAUAUCAGUAGAGUCAGGAUUGUCUAAUUCACAGAUACUCACAAAUCAAUACACCCUAACAGCAAUCUCAACACGGUAUUUUCUUUCCUGAAAAUACUAUGUCUUGAUCUUACUUUCACAUCAAUGCACACUUCAUUUAACACAUCAAUACACCAUACAAUCAUAACAUAUAAUUUAACUUUCUAAUAAUCCAAAUAUAUCCAAGAAGUUAUUUAAUAAUAGUAAUCCAAAAUAAACUAUGCUAAAAUAAUAAUAAUAGUAAUAUCCAUAUAUGUAUACAAAAUUUUGAAUUGAUCGAAAAUAUUUUAGGUUUAUCUAAAUGACACCAGAGAGCACCAAAAAAUUUGGAUUGAUCGAAAAUAUUUUUAGGUUGAUCGAAAUGACACCAGAGAGCACCAGAAAUUUUAGAUUGAUCGAAAAUAUUUUUAGGUUGAUCGAAAUGACACCAGAGAGCACCAGAAAAUUUGAAUUGAUCGAAAAUAUUUUUGGUUGAUCUAAAUGACACCAGAGAGCACCAGAAAUUUUAGAUUGAUCGAAAAUAUUUUUAGGUUGAUCGAAAUGACACCAGAGAGCACAAGAAAUUUUAGAUUGAUCGAAAAUAUUUUUAGGUUGAUCGAAAUGACACCAGAGAGCACCAGAAAUUUUAGAUUGAUCGAAAAUAUUUUUAGGUUGAUCGAAAUGACACCUGAGAGCACCAAAAUUACAAAGUCCAUGCUAUAGCUGAAAAUUACUCUAAAUCAACUUCAAGCAACCAAAAAUCAACAACAUUAUAAUUUUAUAACAACAAUCAUAUCAAAUUUUACAUUCAAAUCUCAGUCAAUUACUAAUAUACUUAAAUCAAACAACCUUGGAAGAAAGUUUGAGACUGGUGACCACAUCACCCUCACAUCCAGAUCUUCUAGCCUAGUGUUCUAUUGGAAAUUAAGGCUAGCUUCCCUUACCUGAAUUUUAGUAGAUAUACACUAAGAGCUCCAAAACCACCAAGAACUCAAAGGUAACUUAACCUGCACCACAAAGUCCAAAUAAAAAAUCUAACUAUAUUACUAAGACCCUGAGCUAACAGAGAUUAACCUUGAAGCUAAAAGGGUCACAUGCAAAGCAAGACAAAAACAACCUGACAAGUUCAAAAUUUGACUCAAAGAGAAGAGCAAAAAUGAACUUACUCUAUCAGAGAUUCUGAUCGGGCAGUCUUGUAGUACUCACUGCCAGGAGUCUGAUGGUGGACUCUGAUCGUCAAACCGAUGAACGAGGAAGUCAGAAUCUUAGAGAAGGGAGAGAAAAAGAAAAGAACUUUCUAGAGAGAUGGUGGUUCUUUUUAAAAUGAAACCUGAAUAACUGAAUUUCUAUUUAUAUUCCCUUUUCAUUUUAGAUAAAAAAAUAUUCAGGAGUCAUUUAAAAUAUACCACUUCUACUCUAAAGUAAUUUUCUAGAUCCUUACAUUCUCCCCAACAAGAAAAAUUUUCGUCCCCGAAAAUUGACUUACCAGAAAAGAGAUAGGGAUAACUUUCCCUAAUGGUUUCUUCUAAUUCCCAAGUGGAAUCACCAGAUAUAUCAUCCCACACCACCUUCACCAUACUGAUGGUCUUGCCCCUGAGUUGUUUACUCUUUUGAUCUUCAAUCCUAAUUGGUUUUGCUUCAAAAGACAAGUUAUCCUUGAUUUGCACAUUAUCCACUUCCAACACGUGACUAGGAUCUGGAAUAUACUUUCUUAGUUGUGAUACAUGAAAUACAUUGUGCAGGUUUGCUAAUUGAGGAGGUAGAGCAAUCUCAUAAGCCACUGGACCUAUCUUCCUUAAGACUUGAUAUGGUCCAAAAAACUUAGGAGAUAACUUAUUUGAUCUGAUAGCUCGUCCUACACCCUUGGUUGGUGUCACUCUCAUGAACACUUGGUCUCCAGCUGCAAACUCCAAAGGUUUUCUCCUCUUAUCUGCAUAGGAUUUCUGCCUACUUUGAUAAGCUUUCAAUCUGUCUUGUAUCUGCUUCACUUUCUCAGUGGUCUGUUGAAUUAACUCUGGCCCAACCAAAACUGUUUCACCAUCCUGAUACCAACAUAAAGGAGUUCUGCACUUCCUCCCAUAUAGAGCUUCAUAUGGUGUCAUCCCAAUACUGGCAUGAUAACUAUUAUUAUAAGUGAACUCCACUAGAGGUAACAUCUCAUCCCAACUUCCCAGAUGAUCCAAAAUACAUGUCCUCAACAGAUCUUCUAAAGACUGGAUCGUCCUCUCAGACUGUCCAUCUGUUUGAGGGUGAUAUGCAGAGCUCAUUCUCAACCUAGUUCCCAAAGAGUCUUGUAGAGUUUGCCAAAACCGUGAAGUAAACCUGGGAUCUCUAUCCGAAACAAUACUGGAAGGCACUCCAAGCAAUCUCACAAUCUCUUUGAUGUACAACUGUUCCAACUUGGCCAUAGAUAUCCUUAAAUUAACUAGAAGAAAGUGAACACUCUUUGUCAGUCGAUCAACUAUUACCCAGACUGCAUCAUGACCCCUUACUGAUCUUGGUAAGUGAGUAACAAAAUCCAUAGCAAUGUUGUCCCAUUUCCACUCAGGAAUAUCCAACUGCUGUAACAAACCACCAGGUCUCUGAUGUUCUACUUUUUCCUUCUGACAUGUCAAACAUGUACCAACAUACUGAGCUAUUUCUUUCUUCAUGCCUGACCACCAAAAGGACUCUUUCAAAUCUUGGUACAUCUUUCAUACCGGGAUGUAGACUAAGAUGACUCUUAUGACCCUCUUCUAGGAUCAUUCUCUUCAGCUCUUCAUUUUCAGGUAUGCAAAUCCUGCCAUUAAAUCUCAAGAUCUCAUCUUCUCCCAUCACAAAGUCCUUAACUUGAUUUGUACCUAGUAACUCCACAGUACGCUUCAGACUAGGAUCCUCUAACUGUUUUUCCUUUAUUAUUCCAAGGAAAUCAUUAGUUAUAGUUAACUUACUACAACUAAUAUGAUUAAUAUGAAAUUUCACUCCCAAAUUUAGAUCCUUGAACUGCUCAAUCAACUUCUGCUCUUCAAUCAUCAUAGCUGACACCUGUACUGACUUUCUACUCAAAGCAUCUGCAACUACAUUAGCCUUCCCUGGAUGGUACAUCAAUUGAAAAUCAUAAUCCUUCAGAAACUCCAUCCAUCUUCUUUGUCUCAUAUUCAACUCUUUCUGAUCAAACAAAUAUUUUAAACUUUUAUGGUCACUGAACACCUGAAAUUGAGCUCCAUACAAAUAAUGCCUCCAAAUCUUCAAAGCAACACUACUGCUGCCAAUUCUAAGUCAUGAGUAGGAUAAUUUCUCUCAUGAACUUUGAGUUGCCUUGAAGCAUAUGCAACUGCUCUCUUCUCUUGCGUUAAGACACAACCUAAACCCUGAUAGGAAGCAUCACAGUAAACCUCAAAAGGUUUUCUUGUAUCAGGAAUCACUAACACCGGAGCACUAGUUAAUAUUUUCUUCAGCUCUAUAAAACUCUACUCACAUCUGUCAGUCCAAGCAAAAGGUUGAUCUUUGCGAGUUAAUUGAGUCAAAGGAGCUACUACCUUGGAAAAAUCUUCAAUGAACCUUCGAUAGUAUCCAGCUAAACCCACAAAACUUUUUAUCUCUGUGACUGUCCUAGGGUGUUCCCACUGAAGCACUGCCUCCACCUUGGCUGGAUCCACUGAGAUCCCCUGAGCUGAUAUUACAUGCCCUAAGAAAUUGACUUCCUCCAGCCAAAACUCACACUUAGAGAACUUAGCAUAUAAUUGUUUUUCCCUCAAAAUUUCCAACACUAUCUUCAGAUGUUCUUCAUGUUCUUCCUCGGUCCUUGAAUAAAUAAGUAUAUCGUCUAUAAAGACUACAACAAACUUGUCCAAGAAAUGACGGAAAAUUCUAUUCAUGUAAUCCAUGAAAAGAGCUGGAGCAUUUGUUACUCCAAACGACAUCACCACAUACUCAUAGUGUCCAUAACGAGACCUAAAAGCUGUCUUCUGAACAUCUUCAUCUUUUACUAAAAUCUGAUGGUAUCCAGAUCUCAGAUCAAUCUUUGAGAACACUGAGGCUCCAUGUAACUGAUCCAUUAAAUCAUCAAUUCUGGGCAGAGGAUACUUGUUUUUGAUGGUCAACUUAUUCAACUGCCUGUAAUCUACACACAACCGAGACCCUCCAUCCUUCUUUUUAACUAGAAGCACCGGAGCCCCCCAUGGAAAUACAUUGGGCUUGAUGAACUGUUUCUCCAAUAAGUCUUCAACUUGCUUCUUUAGUUCAAUUAAUUCAGCUGGAGCCAUUCUGUAAGGUCCCAUUGACACUGGUCCAGCUCCAGGUGCCAAAUGAAUAGAGAAUUCUACUUCUCUCUUGGGAGGUAAUCCAGGUAUUUCUUCUGGAAAUACAUCCAUGAAAUCCUUCACCACAUGUAUACUACUUAUUUCUUUAUCAUUCUUAACUCCCAUCUGAGUUAAGAUUACAAGCCACCUUGAUCCUUCUUUCAAUUCUGACCACACAUGUUGAGCAGACAUCACAUAUGACUCCUUGGAAUAUGAAAACACUAUUUUCUGUUGACUACAAUCUAUGAGAAUGUGAUUGACAGAUAGCCAAUCCAUUCCUAGAAUAACAUCCAGGUCUUGAAGAGGUAGACAAAUUAAAUUUAUUUUGAAAGUAUCGAUUUUACUUUCGGAUCUUUAGCUGGCACUCACUGACCCCGUCUUUGCUCUACAAAGUGUUGCGGUAGGUAAAGAACUCGAUCUUAAUAUAAAUUUCCAGCAGGCUCUCUGUGAUCUAUCUUGGACUGGAAAUGGAGAUUGAUUUGAAUAUGCAGUCUCUCUAGUGGCAUCUACCCUUUAUCCUUUGUUUGAAUUAUUAAGUAAGUAUAUGCAUUGAUUUGAUAAUUUAUUUUGAUGUAUGCAUUUAAAGGUCCUUUCUUGUGAAAAUAAAUGUUCUGGGAUUGGUUGGCGCAUUACAAAGGCUUGCUUGCAUUGCAUGAAAGCCGCUUUAGCAAGAAAGGCGGGAAUCUCUUCAAGGGUUGACAACUGUGAGAUAUGAACUAUUAUUGGACAUUCAAAACAAACUGUAGAGGUCAAUACUUUUCCUGAUGCAGGGGUAGAGACCAGCAGUUCAAACGACAACUCUUUCACUAAAAGACCCAACUCAUCUACACACAAAAGAAUGUGUCGCUCCUGAAUCAAACAAAACUUUCACACAUCUACCAGCUAUAUAACAUACACCUUGUACCAAAUUACCUGACUGAGAUGUUUCAGCUCCUGACAUAGAAAAAACUCUUCCAGUUGCUUGGGGUCUGCCACCCCCUCCUCUUCCUAGUUGUAAGUUACCUCCAAGAAUUAUCCUCCUCUUAUUAGGGCAAUCUUUUGAUAGAUGUUCUUCUUUAUGACAAGUAUAACAUUUUCUCUCUGAUAAAAGUUUAGGACAAUCUUUCUUCAAAUGGGGUCCAACACAGUGAUAACAUGUGGGUAUCUAUGGUGGUUGUUGCUGAAACUGCGGUGGAGCUGCUCCUGCCCUAUGUUGUGGAGGUCUAGCAUAAGGCAUGUGUUGUUGAUGUUGUACCUUGGCCUUUCCACUAGAAGACCCUCCUGGGUGUGAUCUCAUUACCCUGGAAUCCCCCUUUUCCAAGGUCUCCACCAUCUUCGCCUUCUCCACUAAGCUAGGAAACUCCCUGAUGCACAUAGGUGAUAUAAUCUUUUUCAACUCAUGUUUUAAACCUUCUUCAAACUUCCUACACCUCCAAGCCUCAGAGGUAGCUUGUAGAAUCUGGCUAGAUACUCAAACCUAGCAGCAUAAGCAUUAACUGACAUCUCUCCCUGUUCCAACUUGAGAAAUUCAGUUUCCUUUGCAAACCUUGCACUAUCUGGAAAAUAUUUCUCCAGAAACAUCACUCUAAAACACUCCCAGUCCAAAACUUCAGCUCUGACUUCCAUCAUUUGUUGAGCUCCCAUCCACCAGAACUCUACUUCUCCAGACAACAAAUAUGUAGCAAAAACCAAAUUCUUAUCCUCAGGGCAUGAGGUUGCCUUAAAGAUCUUCUCUAUCUCCCUUAUCCAUUGGUUUGCUUGAUCCGGAGUGGCAUUCCCACUGAACUUAGGUGGGUUAUGCCUCAUGAACUCUGUCAGUCCCAACUGCUCUUGAGACAAACUGACAUGGGAAGUUGUUGCAGCAAAUCUAGCAUUCUCCCAAUGAUGCAUUGUUGUCUGGUGAUUCUGAGCCAUUGCCAUAUUCUGUUGUUGGAUAGCUUUUGCCAUCAUCUCAAUAGCCCUGACAAUCUGGUUCAUCUCAGAAGAAGGUUGGGGAGGGGUAGGAGGUCUAGGAGCCAUUCUAUAAAACAAAGAAGAAAGAUUCAUGAUAAAUCUUUAGAAUUUUAAACUAUGUAGUUUUUACUAACAAACCAAUUAAAGCACACAAAAACAACCCCAUAACUCUUAGGUCUCCUAAGGUUCGAAAAGCUCUGAUACCAUAAUGUAACAUCCCUAAAUUUACCCAUAUAUAUAUAAUAAAAUAAUAGUAAAACAAGCAAUAUCUAAUUAACAAAUAAACAUAUACUACUUGCUGAUAUUUGUAUCUCAAAAAGAUAUCCCUCUUCAUAGGGAUUUAAUAUAUACAUCAAAAAGUUUAAAAACAAAACACAGCAAAGCAUUCAAUUUAAAUCUAUCUAAUCCUCCUCCUGCUCACUGAAGAGCUCUAUUACCUACAACUUCAUCUGCUCCCGUGUAAAUUAACAUGAUCAUCACAGAUUAAAGAAAACAAAAACAAACAAAUAACGGGUAAGCUAGCCAUAUAAAACAAAAUUCUAUAAAAUUUCAAUUUGAAAUUUAUAAAACAUAAAUCAACAAGUCUCAUACAAAUUCUCAAAUCAUCACGUGUCUAUUAAAAUUCAAUAUUCAUCUUUCAUAUGCCAGACUUCCACCGACUCAUAUAACAUAAACACUUGAUUCUACUUCCGGAAGACUCGUGUAUUGAAAUUAGCAUCCAGAGACCUGCACCUGUCAUAUUAUUGUUGUGAAAUCCACACAACCAUGCGCAUAAUUAUCUCAAUAUCUCAUCCACUCAUAUGAUAGGGUAAAAUCAUAUGAACCUCCAUCAACUCUCACCAACUGAAUAACUUCAUCUACGUGAUUACAUUAUAUCAGUAGAGUCAAGAUCGUCUCAUUCACAUGAUACUCACAAGUCAAUACACCCUAACAACAAUCUCAACACGGUAUUUUCUUCCCUGAAAAUACUAUGCCUUGAUCUUACUUUCACAUCAUUGCACACUUCAUUUAACACAUCAAUACACUAUGCAAUCAUAACAUAUAAUUUAACUUUCUAACAAUCCGAAUAUAUCCAAGAAGUUAUUUAAUAAUAGUAAUCCAAAAUAAACUAUGCUAAAAUAAUAAUAAUAGUAAUAUCCAUAUAUGUAUACAAAAUUUUGGAUUGAUCGAAAAUAUUUUAGGUUGAUCUUAAGGACACCAGAGAGCACCAGAAAAUUUGGAUUGAUCGAAAAUAUUUUAGGUUGAUCUAAAUGACACCAGAGAGCACCAGAAAAUUUGGAUUGAUCGAAAAUAUUUUUAGGUUGAUCGAAAUGACACCAGAGAGCACCAGAAAUUUUAGAUUGUUCGAAAAUAUUUUUAGGUUGAUCGAAAUGAUACCAGAGAGCACCAGAAUUACAAAGUCCAUGCUAUAGCUGAAAAUUACUCUAAAUCAACUUCAAGCAACCAAAAAUCAACAACAUUAUAAUUUUAUAACAGCAAUCAUAUCAAACUAGUGUAGGAAUCAAACUGAACAUAAAAAAAAAAAAACAAAUAUAAAUCAAACUUUGUAUAGAGGAAUCAAAAGUCUGCGUUGCAUUGAAUAUUGAAAUGAACAGUGAGGUUCCAAAAUAAUAGGGAUACACUGAUAUGCAAAAUAAAACAACUUUAUACUUAACCAGAAAAAAGCAAUAAAGCAAUACAAACUUGCAAUGUUUAUUACAAUAGUGUAUAAACUUCAGAAAAGCAUACGAAAACUCUAAAGAACUAUCUACAAAUUUUCUUUUCUAUAUAUCAUAGUUGUUAUAGGCAAGGUGAGGUGCUGCAUCAAAUGAAUUUUGAACAAGUCAACCAAGUGCUAAAGUUUCAGAAAAGAAUACGAAAACUCUCAAGAAUUGUCUACAAAUUUUCUUUUCUAUAUAUCACAGCUAUUGUAGGCAAGAUGAUGUGCUGCAUCAAAUGAAUUUUGAACAAGUCAGGCAAGUGUCAAAGCUGCCAAUACAAUGAAGUAUUCUGACCUAGAGAAAAAAGCAAUAGACUAGCAUCCACAUGUGAGUCUUUCCCGAAGUGUGUUCAAAUUGCUCUGAGACAUGGAAACCCAAAUCUGAAAAGUAUCAUACAAUAUGCAUUUUGAAACUCUACUAUACAAAAAUGUGCAAUCCAAGUUUUGCACAAUUAGUGUGAAAAUUCAAAUAAAAUUAUUUUCAGAAUAUGCAAAGAACAAAAUUUAACUACAAGUGUCAAUGGAGGAAUAAUUGAUAUCUUUAUUAUGAAUGGAUUAAUCUAUAACUUGGUUAUUGUGAAUCCAUUGAGUUUUAUUCUAUCAUUGUUUUUCUCUAUUUUGUACUACAUUGUAUUGGCAGCUUUGUAUAAUCAGAAUGAGAGUAGUGCACAGUGGACAUUGAGGUGCCAAAAAAAUCAAACAAAGAUUCAAAAAUUUCUACUUAAAUAAAAAUCAUAAAUAAAUAAAAUUUCUAAAUUAUUCAAAAUUCUAAAUAAAUACAAAUCAUAAAUUAUUUAAGGUCAUACGUAAAUAAAAAUCUCCAAAAAAAUAAAAUUCCAAAUUAUGAAAAAUCUUAAAAAAAUAUAAAUCUAAAUUAUUUAAUAUCCUACUUAAAUAAAAAAAUUACAAUAAAUAAAAUACCUAAAUUAUUCAAAAUUCUAAACCUAUGCAAAUCCUAAAUUAUUCAAUGUGAUACUUAAAUAAAAAUGGUAAUAAAUAAAAUUCCUAAGUUAUUAAAAUUUAUAAAUAAAUUCAAAUCCUAAAUUAUUUUACAUUGUACUUAAAUAAAAAUUUAAAAUAAAUAAAAUUCCUAUAUUAUUAAAGUUUGUAAUACAAGACCUAAAUUACUUAAUGUUCUAAUUAAAUAAAAAUAAAAAAUCAAUUAAAUUUUUAAAUUAUACAAAAUCUGAAACAAAUACAUAUCCUAAAUUAUUUAAUGUCCUACUUAAAUAAUAAUUCACAAUAAAUAGAAUUUCUAAAUUAUUCAAAAUUUUAAACAAAUACAAAUUUUAAAUUACUUCAUGUCCUACUUAAAUAAAGUAUCUAAAAUACUCAAUAAAUACAAAUUUUAAAUUAUUUAAUGUCCUACUUAAAUAAAAAUCUGAAAUAUAUAAAAUUUCUAAAUUAUUUAAAAUUCUAAAUAAACACAAAUACUUACUUAGUUUAUGUUAUACUUAAAUAAAAAUCUCAAAUAAAUAAAUUUUUUAACGUUUUCCAAAAAUCGUAAAUAAAUACAAAAUAAAUGAAAUUUAUAAAUUUUCAAAAUUAAAAAUAAAUAUAAGUCGAAAAAAAUUUAAUGUUAUUCUUAAAUAAAAAUUAAAAAUAAAUAAAAUUUCUAAAUUAUUUAAUGCCAUUCUUAAAUAAAAAAUUUCUAUGUUUUCAAAAUUCUAAAUAAGUACAAAUCUUAAAUUAUUGUAUUUCCUACUUAAAUAAUAAUCUAAAAUAAAUAAAACUUCUAAAAUUUUCAAAAUCCAAAAUAAAUACAAAAUUUAAAUUAUUUAAUAUUAUACUUAAAUAAAAAUCCAAAAUAAAUCAAAUUCCUAACUGAUUCAAAAUUGCUAAAAAAAUAGAAACCCUAAAUAUUUAAUGUCAUAAUUAACAUCCUUAAUUUUACCCAUAUAUAAUUAAAUAAAAGUAAAACAAGUAAUAUCUAAUUACAAAUAAACAUAUACUACUUUCUUAUAUGUGUAUCUCAAAAGAAAUAUCUCUUCAUAGGGAUUUAAUAUAUACAUCAAAAGUUUUAAUAACAAAACAAAGCAUUCAAAUAAAACUAUCUCAUCCUUCAGCGGCUCACUAAGGAGCUUUAUUACCUGCAAUCUCAUCUGCUCCCAUGUAAAACACGAUCAUCACAGAUAAAGAAACAACACAAACAAAUAAUAGGGUAAGCUAUCUAUAUAAAAAGUUUUGAUAUAAUUUAAAUUUCAAAUUUAUAAGCAUAGUUCAUCAAUUCUCAUAUGAUUUCUCAAACCAUCAGGUGUCUAUUACAUUCAUAAAAUUCAUCAUCUUUCAUAUGUUAGACUUCUACUGACUCACAACACAAAGACACUUGCGGAAGACUCGUGCGUUGACUUAGACUCAGAGAUCUGCACUUGUCAUACUAUCUCACUGUGAAAUCCACACAGCUAUGCGCAUAAAGAAUCUCAAUAUCAUAUCUCUUCUAGUAUGACAGGGUUAACUCAUAUAACAGGUCAAGUUAGUUAUCUUUCAAACAACUUACCCAUUCAUAUGAACCUCCUUCGACUCUCACCACCUAAAUAACUUCAUCUAUAUGAUUCCAUUAUCUCAGGAGAGUCAAGAUAUCUCCUUCUAGACGAUCCCUAGUCAAUGCACAUCCUAAACAAUCUUAACACGGUAUUUUCUUUCCUAAAAAUACUAUGUUUUGAUUAAAAUUCAUAUUCUAAACAUCACAAUCUCCAACAUCAAACAAUCAAAUCAUUCCAAAUUUUAGAAUUUCCAAAACACACAACAAUUCAUUUACUACUCAUAUAAAUGUCUUGAAUCAAAAGGGCUGCAAAGUGUAUCUAAAUAACAUCAAGUUUUACUACCCAAAAAGAGAGACAAUAAAAGGAGAAUGAAAGAAAAUUAUCUCUCAACUACAACUAUAUCCAAUAGUUCUCAACUUCUUCAAAUUUGCAUUAGCAAGAACUAAUUCCAACAUGUAUUGUAAUACUUUAAUAUUUAGAAUUAUUGCAAGAUUGUUACACCAAUUACAAAAGGAGAAAAGAAAAGUAUUAUCCAACAUUGUAUAACAUUUAUAGAAUGAAAGAAAAAAGCAUGAACAAUAAAUGUUCUUCUUUUUACUUUACAUAUACCUAGCACCACAUAUCCAACAUUAUUUAAUAAAAAGGAUAAGAAAGCCACAACAUGAAAAUUAAAGUUUGGUCACCAAUUGUUAAACCCAACAACUAAUUUAUCUCAAAAGCACCAGAAUUCAGAUUACAAUCAACAUAGCAAUUCUCUAAAUAAUCAACUCAUAGUUUACUUUAAAAAUUGUCACAAACAAUUUUUAGCUCAUAAACUGAAUCAUGACGAAAUAAUCAAAAUAUAUGCUCUGAAAUUGUCAAGAAAAAUCAUCACAAACAUUUUUCAAAUACAUUAUAUACAUUCUACACUUAUAUACAUUCUACACCGUCUACUAUAUCUAAAUUUUUCAUUUCAAUCUCAAACAAUUUCCAAUCUACACAAAAACAAGAGAUCGUGCAAGAAAAUUUGAAACUGGUGACCACGUCACCCCCACAUCCAGAUCUUCUAGCCUAGGGUUCUAUUUGGCAAUUUAAAACUAGCUUUCCUUACCUGAAUUUUGACUGAUGCUCGCUAGGAGCUCCAAAUCUACCAAAAGCCUAAAGGUAAUUUAACCUGCACCACAGAAUCCUGAUAAAAAUCUAACUAUAUAACUAGGACCUUUUGUUAACAAAAUUAACCCUCCUGAAGCUAAAAGAAUCAUAUGCAAAGCAUAAAUCUAAUAAGAUCAAAAUUAACUCAAAAGAAAAAGGGGCCAAGAAUGAACUUACUCUAUCUGAGAUUUUGAUCGAACAAUCUUAUAGGGUUCACUGCCAGGAGUCCAAUGGCAGACUCCGAUUGCCAAACUGAUAAGCGAGAAGGUUAGAAUCUUAGGGAGAAGGGAAAGAAAAGGAAAAAGAGGAACAAAACUGAACUUACUCUAUAAGAGAUUCUGAUCGGGCAGUCUUGUAGUCUUCGCUGCCAGGAGUCCAAUGGCAGACUCCGAUCGCCAAACUGAUAAGUGAGGAGAUCAGAAUCUUAGAUAGAAGGGAGAGAAAGGAAAAUUGGAACUUGUAGAGAGAUGGUGGUUAUUUUAAAAUGAAACCUGAAUAACCGAAUUUUCUAUUUGUUCCCGCCGGUUGACCUGGGUUGUCUUUAUGCGUGGCUUGUCCUCACGAGCUAGGGCACCUUCGUUCUGGUCCGUCUGUGAGUACCUGAAAAGAAGUGAACAAAAGGGGCGCCCUCGCGACCGUUUGCACUCCGACGAUCAAGUCAACUAGCGAGAAGCAUCAAAGGUGACGCACCUCCGUAUCGGAACACCGUAAACGAAUGCUCUGAAGGUGGUUAGAAAUAACUGAGUGGCUAAAACUGUGUUGCCCUAAUCGUUUUUCUGCACACAAUGGGUGCGCCGUCACAACAACUAGGGUUUGUGCUCUUGUGUAGACUGUGAGAAUUAGGUUAAAACUCAGAUCCUUUUCAAACGUCCCAAGGUCCCUUUUUAUACAUCUCUCGCAUUUAAAACGCGUUAAAGCGCAUUGAAAGCGUAUAAAAAUAUUCCUUGGAACGUUCGAAUCUUAACUGAAUUAACGCGUACCUUAGCGAACUUUUACAAAAGCCUUGAUGUUUUCAAUGCUUAUUGCCACGUGUUCUUCUGACUUAAUCGUGACUCUUCGUGGAGGGCCCUAUAGCGCCGUAACCCAAUUUAGGGUUAAUCCAUCGUGCAAACCCUCCUUUCUUGAAGUGCAUUUGGCGCAAGUGGGUGACUUUCUGGGUGCCAACUCAUGCGCCCCAACUUCUAGUCACUCGCCUUGGGAGUGUAUCUACCUUCCUCUCACACCAAGCACCUGGUUCACCCCUGGGCAUGACCCUCUCGUGGGUCGUAUCUAUCCCGGGGGUCUCCCUGAGGUGACGUGGGUACUUCACGAGUCAGGUUACUCCCUGCUGGUACCAGAACUAUGGCCUUGAAGCCACCUUUCUCUUCUCUUUGUAACUGCUCUGGGCCACACCUUAACCUGGCAAUGCUUCAACCUGGCGAUGCCUUCCUUAGGCGACGCCUCCUCUUGGCGACGCCUUACCCUGGUGACGCCUUCUCUUGGCAACUCCUUCUCCUGGCGACGCCUUCUCCUGGCGACGCCUUCUCCUGGCGACGCCUUCAGUGGUCAAUCUGUUGACUUCCCUUCUUUGGGGCCCUCGAGUGGUCCCACCAUAUGUUGACUUUGACUUUGGUCAACGCCCAAGGACGGGACGGUGCACUAUUUAUAUGUCAUUUUCAUUUUAAUAAUAAAAUAUUCAGGUAUCAUUUAAAAUAUACCACUUCUACUCUAAGGUUAUUUUCUAGAUCCUUACAUCAUACGUAAAUAAAAAUACAAAAUAAAUAAAAUUCUUAAAUUAUGUAAAAUCUUAAAUAAAUACUAAUCUAAAUCUAACAUAUUUAGUGUCUUACAUAAAUAAAAUAUGAAAUAAAUAAAUCUACAAAACAUAAGCGGGAUGGAAAAUUUUUUGUACGUUAAAUGACUUCAAAAAAAAGGUGAUAAAAUUGUUUUUGAAAUAGAGGUUUACAUACCCAGUCCUAAAUAAAUACAAAAUCUAAAUGAUUUAAUGUUUCACUCAAAUAAAAAUUUGAAAUAAGUUCAAUUCCUAAAUUUUUAAAAAUCCUAAAUAAAUACAAUCCUAAAUUAUUUAAUGUCAUACUUAAAUAAAAAAUCGUAAUAAAAAAUUUAUAAAUUGUUUAAAAUUCUAAACAAAUACAAAUACUAAAUUAUUAAAUGUCAUAUUUAAAUAAAAAUUUGUAAUAAAUAAAAUAUCUCAAUUAUUUAAAAUUAUAAAUAAAUACAAAUCUAAAUUAUUGAAUGUCAUACCUUCAUAAAAAAUUAUAUUAAAUAAAAAUCCUAAAUUAUUUAAAAUUGUAAAUAGUUACAAAUUCUAAAUUAUUGGAAUUAUUUCAAAUUUUAAACAAAUACAAAUUAUUUAAAAUUUUAAACAAAUAAAAAUCCUAAAUUAUUUAAUGUACUACUUAACUAAAAUAUCUGAAAUAAAUAAAAUUAUUUAAUUAUUUAAAAUAUUAAUAAAUAAUAAUUCUAAAUUAUUUAAUGUUCUACUUAAAUAAAAAUUUAAAAUAAAUUAAAAUUUUAAAAUAUUCAAAAUCCUAGGUAAAUCUUAACUUAUUUUAUGUCAUACAUAAAUAAAUUUUAAAUUUUUUUUGAAUAAAUAGUAAACCAGAAAUUAUUUUAUUUCUUACUUAAAUAAAAAUAUAAAAUAAAUAACAUUUCUAAGUUUUCAAAAUUCUAAAUAAAAAAAAUUCAAAAAUUUGUAAUAUCAUUCUUAAAUAAAAAUAAAAAAUCAAUAAAAUUUCUAAAUUAAUCAAAAUUUUAAAUGAAACCAUAUCUUAAAUUAUUUAAUAUCAUUCUUAAAUAAAAAUCUAAAAUUAAUAAAAAAAAUUAGUUUUCCAAAAGGCUAAAUAAAUAAAAAUCUAUACAAAAUAGGGAUAUAAUUUUGACAACUACUUCGAUGACCCGAUCUAGAAAAUAAAUAUGAUGGGAACAUAAAUAAUUCACGUGGUGCAUAUUUAAUGUGGUUUAAAUUGUACAGAAUUGGAUUGCUGUGUAUAUAAAAAAUAUAGCGUUCAUAUUCAUGUGUAUUGAAUUAAAUUUAUAAUAUUUUUUUUCUACUUUAUUAUUGAAAGUUAGGUAAAGAAUAGAAAUAUUAUAGAACGAGUUUAUUACGUUUCCCAAAAAGAGAGUAAAAUAUUGUGUAGAAAUUAAAGAUGCCUAAUAAGAGUUGAGGUAUUAUUUAUAAAUAAACAAUGAAAAAAUAAUGAUGCCUUCAUACUUCACCAGAUUCUUAACUGCCUUUUUAAUAGAUUCUACCUUCCUUAUUAUCAUUUCAUUUAAUACAGUUUCUUAAACGGAUACACGGUUUCAUGUCUCUGAAUUAUGCUUCUAAAUUAUAGGGGUUGACCAAGAAUAAGAAGAAGAUGGGGAUAUAAUAAUUACAACUACCAAACAUGAUGGCCCCAUCUAGAAAAUAAAAAUCUAAAAUAAAUAAAAUUUAUAAGUUUUUUAAAAUUCUAAAUUAAUAUAAAUUUUAAAAAUUUAAUGUCAUUCUUAAAAAAAUUUAUUAUUUAAUUGCAUUUUUAAAUAAUAAUAUAAAAAUUAAUUAAAUUUUUAAGUUUUUCAAAAUCUUAAAUUAUUUUAUUUCCUACUUAAAUAAUGAUUAAAAUAAAUAAAAGUGAUUACAUACGAAUUUUUGCGUAUUUAAUUCAGUAUAUAAAUAGACGUUACAUACUGAUUUUUUUUAUAUGUAAGCCAAAAGUGAUUAUAUAUGUUUUUAAUCAGUAUGUAAUUUUGACUUCACAAAGCGAGAAUAAUUACAUACGGAUUGUAUCCGUAUAUAAAGUAUUACAAACAAAAUAUUUUUAAUAAUUGUAAUAAUAAUAAUAUUGAUAUUAAUGGUAAUAUUGAUAUUAAUAUUUUUAUUAAUAUUAAUGAUAAACAACCGGUUGAAUUUUUGUUAAUCAAGUUAAACAAUUUUGUUUGAUUUCUUUCUUGAUUUCUGUAUCUGUGAUUCUGCAUUGAAGUUCAUUAUACUUUCAAAGUUUGCGAAAAUCUUUCAUAAACAAUUCAUCUCCCCCCUCUUAUUUAAUGCCAUAUAUUCUAAUAAAAACUUCCUCAACUUGAGAAGUAAAACCCACGGACCUAGUCCAGAAAAUGCCUCCCCUAUGAAAGUAGGAUUACAAUAUUUGUUUCUCUCACUCUAUGAGGAUAACACUUAAUCUCACCCAAGAAGAAUGGAAUACAAAGUCUCUUUAGCAUCCCACUCACCAUUAUGGUGGUUAUCUAUUCUCUCAUUUACACUUUAUCUCUUCUCCUUGCUUGUCUUUUUUCUUUCUCACAAGUUUCCUUUAUAUAGAGAAUGAGAGUAAGACUUCUUCAUAAAGAGAUAGUAGAUAAUUAAUGCUUAUCACAUUUUCAAGAGAGAGUUACAAAUUCAAGACUUUUGAAAUGACCAUCAUUGAAUAUAUUCAAUGGAUCAAUUACCAAUAUUCAUUGGUCGGGAUCUCCUAGUAAACUAAGAAGGGAUUCCCAACAUAAGGUUCAACAAAACCAUAUAAAUAAGAGCAAAAAUGAAAAAAGUCUAUGAAAUGUUUGAAAACAUCAGAAUACCAAUCACCUACCUAAGCCCCUAUUUGGAUUGGGGGGUGGCACUGUAGCCGCAAACGGAUGUGGGGUGCCACCCCCGUUUGGAUCUAGUCAUGGUUGAGGGUGUGGGUGAGGGUGAGGGGAAAGUUGGGCCAAAUGAGAGAGCAUUCAGAAGUGAAGAGAAAGGAGAGGGUGAGGGAGUGAGUGCCAAGUAGGAUGAGUGAAAUAUCAUUUGUGCCCUCACUAGAUUUUUGGAUGUAUGUGGGCAUUGUACGUGAAACAUGCAUGCACAUUUGUGAAGAGAAGCUUUUCAGCAACAAGCACAUGAGAUUCCUGACCAUUGUUCAGGAAUCUGUUUGACCAAGUUAAAAGCUCAAUGAAUGCAUAGGCAAGUUGGUGAGAGGGUGGAUGAGCGUAAUAAAGAGGUGCAACAAUAUAUAUGUGGUUCCCAAGCUCACAAACCUCACAAAGCAAAGGCAAUUUGGUUCUUCACAAAGCACAUACCUAGAGAGCUUGGAGAGGGUCGUGAGUGCGCUUGGUUCUUUGUUUGUAACCUCAGGUGAGCUUUGUGUGAGUUUAGUUUCAUUCUUAAUCGAUUAUCACUGAAAAUGAACGUAUGCCAUAAUCGAUUAUGUUGAAAAAAAUAGUUGAUAAUCAAUUAUGUUCAUGACAUAAUCGAUUAUCUGUAAAAAUUCCCGUGAGAUAAUCAAUUAUGGUCGUUUUUGCACUGGAAGCAUAAUCGAUUAUGUGCCAUAAACAUUUGGAUAAUCGAUUAUGUGCUAUUUUACACUGGGGUGAUAAUCGAUUAUGGUUCUAAUUUUCCAGAUUUAUGAUUUUAUGUUUUUUGAACUAAUUUUUGAAUGAUUUUUUUUUUCAGGUAAAGUUUGAUAAAUCUUAGACUUGCAUUGUGUUGUGGUUUUGUUCUGCUCUCUUGAGGUAUGUGUGUUUUUUUUUUUAAAUUGUGUUUGGAUGUUUAGUUUUAUUUUGAAUUUAAUUUGUUUAAAAUAUUUUAAAGUAGUUGUUAAUUAGUUUUUAAUUUUAGAUGUGAAUGUUUAGGAAAAUUGAUUAUCUAAAAUUGUAUAUUGUUAAUGUAAAAAUUUCAUGAAAUUUGAAUAUGUUAUUUUUGUGACAUGAAUUGAAUUGAAUUUAUAGAUUGAAAUUAGAGAUUUAAAUUUGUUAUUCUAAAAUAUUGUUUUUAAAAAGAUAAUAAAAUUUUUUGCAGUAAUUUAAAAACAGAAAAAUCAAAUAUACAGAAGAUUUUUUUUUUUAUUUUAACUUUGAAGCUGUUAAUAAAUAAAUUUUUUAUUUAAAUUUACAGAAUAGACUACCUUUUAGAAAUUAUUAUUUUUACAGAAUGUAAAUAUUAUUUUUAAUGUUAUUUUUUAAAACAAAUAUUUUAUUAAUUAAAAAAACAGAAAAAGAUUACAUAAUAAAUUAGAAUUUUUAAUAAUAUGUGUACAUAGUUAAUGCUAUUAUGAAAAAAUUAAAACAAAUAUUGUAGUAAUUAAAAAAAACAGAAAAAAUUACAUAAUAAAUUCGAUUUUUUAAUAAUAUUUGUAGAUAGUUAAUAUUUUUUUAACAUUUAAUGUUUUAUAAAAGAAAUAUUUAUUUAUUUGAAAUGAUUAUUUUUAUAGAAUGGAAAUACAAAUUUUGAAUGUUAUAUUUAUAAUUUUUUUCCAUUUUACAUAGACAUACCAUAAUGUUAUGAAAAUAUAUAUAAUUUAUUUCUCAUAAUUUACAUAAAUUGUUAAUAUUAUUAUUUAAAAAUUAAAUAUAAUAUUGUAGUAAUUUAAAUAAAACAGAAAAAGAUUACGUAAUAAAUUAAAAGUUUUACUAAUAUGUGUACAUAGUUAAUAUUUUUUGAACAUCAAAUUGUUUAUAAAAAAUAGAUUUAUUUAUUUGAUAUUAUUAUUUUUACAGAAUAGAAAUAGAAAUUUAGAAUUUUUUUUAUAUUUUUUAAAAUUAAAUUCUUUAUAAAUAAUACAUUUAUUUAUUUAUAGUUAAUAUUUUGACAUGAUGCAUUAAUUCAUAUUUGACAUGUUAUAAAUAAUAAAUGUUAACAGAAGUUUUUAUAGAAAUUAAUAAUGUUAUAGAAAGUUUUAUUGUUACAUACUGGAAAAUGUAAUUAAAAAAAUUAAUAAUGUUAUACAAUUUUUUAUUUUUUAUUGUUACAAAAUGUAAAUAUAAUUUAAAAUAUUUAAAAUAUUAUGGUACUAAAACCCUAAAUCAAAAAAGUUAAGAGAACAUAUAUUUAUUUCUUGAUUGAUUAAAUUAUAAUUUUGUUAGUCUAUAUUUAUUUUGUUAUAUUAGAUAAAUUAAAUGAUAGAGUCAUUUACAAUAGAAUGUUUAUUAUAAUUAUUUAAAAUUAGAUAUUAGGGUUACUGUAUUGGUGUAGUUUUACACUGAAACGGUAACUGCAUUCGAUAUGUUGUAUUGACACUUAUCCAUAUCCAUAAUCAUGGUUCUGAAUCAAAGUUCUACAUUUUGUGGAUAACAUUAUGAAUUCGGGUAGCCAUUACGACGAGGCAGAAAUGGUACAUUUUGAGGAAACGGUUGCAAUUUAUGAUGACCUUGUUGCGGCGAACAUGAAUUUAAUUUCACAAAUACAAGAACAAAUUAAAAAAAAUACUGAAGGUGCUUCUGUGAUGAUCCUUUGUAUGUUGGUUUUGGAUUGAAUUUGUUACGUACGGUGUGUACUACAAGGAACCGUAUUAGUGAGUUCCAACCACAAAAAGAGCGUCGCAGACAAGAAUUGAUGGAGUACUUGGUUCACACUGAACAAUGUCGUGAUAUUAUUCCCAUGGGACCAGAAGCUUUCCUUCAAUUAUGUCAAUGAAUACGAGGAACUGGACUUGUUAAAGAUGCAUAUCGAUCAACCGUGGAAGAACAAGUUGUGAACUUUCUACACAUUAUUGGGCAUAAUGUGAAGAAUCGAAGUGUGUCAUUCUUUUUUCAUCGGUCUGGAGAAACAGUUUCCCGUCACUUUCAUAAUGUUUUGAGUGCAAUAUUAAGGUUGGAGGGGGAAUUCUUAAUUCAACCAAAUGGAAUGGUUGUAGAAUCGCACAUCCUUAACAACAAUCGAUUUUACCCCUACUUUAAGGUUUGUUUAUGAUAAUAUUAUUUUAAAUCACGUAUCAUGUUUUAUUUAUUUUGUGUUUAAUAAAACUUAUGAAAUUUGGUUUACAUUAGCAUUGUUUGGGGGCAAUAGAUGAAACUCAUGUAUGUGUUAAGGUUUUACGUGCUGAUGCACCUCGUUUUCGAGGGAGAAAAGAUUGGCCAACUCAAAACAUAUUUGUAGUGUGUGACUUUAACAUGAAGUUCACAUAUGUCCUGGCCAGUUGGGAAGGAACAACCUUGGAUUCAAGGAUAUUAAAAGACGCUUUGGUACGAGACGAUCCUUUGGUUAUUUCAGAAGGUUAGUUUUAGGGGAUUGAGUGUGCAGAAGAAUAAAUAGGUUAUAGUAGUAUAUACUAACACAACUUUCCAAUAUUUUGUAGGAAAAUACUAUCUUGGUGAUGCAGGUUUUAUGUUAAAACCAAAUAUAAUAAAAUCUUAUCGCGGGGUUAGAUACCAUUUGAAAAAAUAUUCGCGAAGAGGACCACAAAAUGCUAAAGAGCUAUUUAAUCUUCGACAUUCAUCACUUAGAAAUAUAAUUGAGUGAACAUUUGGGGUAAUGAAAAAACGAUUUCCAUUUAUUAGUAUAUGUUUAUGUUUGUUUUUUAUAUAUUAAUAUUUGGUUUUUAAUUUUUUAUUUCGCGUCUCUUUAUGUGUUUUAAAUUAUUAAUUAUUGUAAAAUUCAUUUUACUUUAUUUUUUAAUAUAUUGAUCUUAUCUAUUAUUAUUAUUAGUUUAUGUAAUUGUUAAUUAAUGUAAUUUUGACUUAUAAAUUAUGAUAGAACUCAUAUUAAUGUCAAAUUUAAUAUUUUACGUUUUAGAAAAUCAAAUUUAAUUUAAUGUAAAUUUUCUAUAAUUUAUUUAAUAUUAUAAUAUUAUUAUUUAAAUAUGAAAGCUUAGAAAAAAUAACCGUUUGUUGCACGGUCAAAGUUCUAGUAGAAAUAGAAAUAGAGGGGCACGUGACGUCUCCUUUUGAUUACAGCUAAUAAGAAUCCAGAAAUCUUUGAAGGGUCCCGGAAUAAUGUAAUCACCUUCCUUAUUAUCAUCUAAAUUAUUGGGGUUGACCAAGAAUAAGAAGAAGAUGGGGAUAUAAUUGUUACAACUACCAAACAUGAUGUCCCCAUCUAGAAAAUAAAAAUCUAAAAUAAAUAAAAUUUAUAAGUUUUUUAAAAUUCUAAAUUAAUAUAAAUCUAAAAAAUUUUAAUGUCAUUUUUAAAAAAAAAUAUAAAUUAUUUAAUUGCAUUUUGAAAUAAUAAUAUAAAAAUUAAUUAAUUUUUUAAGUUUUUAAAAAUCUUAAAUUAUUGUAUUUCCUACUUAAAUAAUGAUUAAAAUAAAUAAAAUUUAUAAAAUUUUCAAAAUUCUAAAUAAAUAUAAAACUUAAAUUAUUUAAUGCUGUAUUUAUAUAAAAAUCCAAAAUAAAUUAAAUUUUUAAAUUAUUCAAAAUUGCUAAAAAAACUAAAAACCGUAAAUAUUUAAUGUCAUACUAAAUAAAAAUACAAAAUAAAUAAAUUUUUUAAAUUAUUUAAAAUAUUAAAUAAAUACAAAUCUAAAAUAUUUAGUGCCUACAUAAAUAAAAUCUAAAAUAAAUAAAUCAACAAAACAUGAGCGAGAUGGAAGAAUUUUCGUAUGUUAAAUAACUUCAAAGAAGACGAUAAGAUUGUUUUUGAAGCAAAUGUUAAUAUAUCAAAUAAUGAAAUUCGAGUUAUUCACCUUUUAGGAUAAAUUCAUUUUUUAUGAAACUGUUUAUUUUUAGUUAGUUUCUUCAAAAUUUGUGUCAGUUUGUUGAUAGUUAAACAAUUUAUUUAUUUGUGUAUAUUAUUUAUGUUUAAGCAUUGUUUAUAUUAAUUUUAGUAUGUUUAGUUUUUUAUUUAUUCGUAUAUGCUCAUGUUUAUUUCUUAUAUAUUAAUAUUUACUUUGUAAUUAAUUAAUUUAUUUUUCUAUUUACAUUUGCAUUCAUAUAUUUAAUUAUAAAAAAUAUAUUUUUAUACAAAAUAGUGAAAGAAAACGUGCCAAAUAAAUCAACAAAAUUUGGAGUGGGAUGGAAAAAUUUAUGUAUGUUCAAUGACUUCAAAGAAGACAAUAAAAUUAUUUUUGAAGCAGAAGUUAUCAUACCAAAUAAUGAAAUUCUAGUUAUUCGCCUUUUAAGAUGAAUAAUUUUUUUUACAUAACUUUUUAUUAUUACUUAUUUUUCUCAAAAACUUUGUGUUGUUGAUACUUGAACAAUUUAUUUAUUUACAUGUAUUAUUUAUGUUUAUGCAUUGUUUAUAUUAAUUUUAGUAUGUUUAGUUUUUUACUUAUUCAGAUAUGCUGAUGUUUAUUUCUUAUAUAUUAAUCGUUGCUUUGUAAUUUUUUUUUAUUUAAUUUUUUCUUUACAUUUACACUUAUAUAUGUAUAUGUAUUUAAUUACGUAAAUUAUAUUCUUAUACAAAAUAGUGAAAGAAAAUGUGUCAAAUAAAUGAACAAAACUUGCGGCGAGAUGAAUUUUUUUUUGUAUGUUAAAUAACUUCAAAGAAGGUGAUAAGAUUAGUUUUGAAACAGAUGUUAACAUACCAAAUAAUGAAAUUCGAGUUAUUCAUCUUUUAGCAUGAUUUUUUUUACAUAACUGUUUAUUAUUACUUAUUUCUCUCAAAAUUUGUGUCAGUUGUUGAUACUUGAACAAUUUAUUUAUUUAAGUUUAUUAUUUAUCUUUAUACAUUGUUUAGAUUAAUUUUAGUAUGUUUAGUUUUUUUGUUUAUUCAUACAUGCUAAUGUUUAUUUUUUAUACAUUAAUAGUUGUUUUGUAAUUUAUUUCUUAUAAGAACAAAAGUGAUUAUAUACGGAUUUAAUUCAAUAUGUAAAUAGACAUUACAUACUAAUUUUUUUCAUAUGUAAGCCAAAAAUGAUUAUAUACAAAUUUAGUCAGUAUGUAAUUUUGGCGCCAUGAAGCAAGAAUAACUACAUACGGAUUGUAUCCGUAUAUAAAGAAUUACAUACAAAAAUAUUUUUAAUAAUUGUAAUAAUAAUAGUGAUAAUAUUGAUAUUAAUAUUAAUAUUAAUGAUAAACAACUGGUUGAUUUUUUGUUAAUCAACUUCAACAAUUUUGUUUGAUUGCUUUAUGGAUGUCUGUAUCUGAGAUUCUGCAUUGAAGUUCAUUAUACCUUCAAAGUUUGUGAAAAUUUUUCAUAAACAAUUCAUCUCCCCUCUGGUUUAAGACCAUAUAUUCUAACAAAAACUUCCUCAACUUGAUAUGUAAAACCCACGGGAUCUAGUCUAGAAAAUGCUUCCCCUAUAAAAGUAGGAUUACAAUAUUUGUUUCUUGGGAGGAUAACACUUAAUCUCACCCAAUCUAUUCUCUCAUUUAAGCUUUAUCUCUUUUUUCUUUCUCACAAGUUUCUUUUCUUUUAUAUAGAGAAUGAGAAUAAGACUUCUUCAUAAAGAGAUAGUGGAUAAUUAAUGCUUAUCACAUUUUCAAGAGAGAGUUACAAAUUCAAGACUUUUGAAAUGACCAUCAUUGAAUAUAUUCAAUAGAUUAGUUACCAAUAUUUAUUGGUCAGGAUCUCCUACUAAAUUAAGAAGCGAUUCUCAACAUAAGAUUCAACAAACCAUAUAAAUAAGAACAAAAAAAAAAAAAAGUCUAUUAAAUGUUUGAAAACAUCAUAAUACCAAUCACCUACUUAAAUGUUUGAAAACCUUUUGUAGGUACAAUCCUCGUAGAAACCCAAGACCAAAUGCAAAAAUAGAAAGUGGAAGGAAACAUUACUAUGAUAAAGAGAAGUUAUUAUAUCAGCCUUCUACAAUAACAAUGAACAUAAAUAUUGUUUGAACAUUAAAAUUUUCUAUUAUUAUUUUAAAAAAUAAGAUGGUAAAAUAUGAGUUUCAUUCGAGUAAAAUUAAAAUAAACUAAAACUAUUAAAAAAAUAUCUUACCAAAUGUAAAUAAAAUGGUUUUAUUUUAGAAUGCUUUAUAAAAUACAUUAAAUCGAUUUACUCAACUACGAAGAUAAGAAAAACAUCUCUUCUUCAAACAAUGGUUUAUUAUGUGCUAUUGGUUUGUUUUAGUAAGUCAUAAACAAUAGAUUAAGUAACUUUUCAAAAUUUUACUAAGGAAAACAUCAUAGGUGAAACAAGAGACUCUUCCUCAUCAAGUUACACUUUCAUUAAAAAAAACUAAUAAACAAGUGUGUACCAAAAAAAAAAGUCUUAUAAUGGUACAACUUUAACUAAUAAAUAAUAAAAAAUUACUUUAAUUGCCACUUUUAUGCAAAGUGUUAUCUCCUUGUAAUGAUUUAUUCAAUCUUGAAUAAAUUUUAGAAUCUUAAUAUGAAGUCAUGGGUUGAUCACUGAGGGGCAAUCCAAUUAAUAUAUUAUAACAGUCCAAUCCAAGAAAUUAAUGACGAUACCCGCAUAAUCGUCAUAAAGAAGAGAGUGCAAAAUUAGUGGAGGUGGAGAGUUACGAAAAUAUAAGAAGGAAUUAAGUUAGUAAAUAGAACAAUUACAAAGAAAGGCAAGAGAGAAGUUUUAUAAGAAAGAAGAGAGGCCAAAGGGGAAAAAAAAUUGGAAACUGUUUUCGAAUACCAUUGAUUCUCUACCUAAGGAUCAUCUCUAUCGGCUAAUUAAUAGAAACCAUCAUAUCGACUAUUUUGACCUGCAAUGCAUGCUCAUUUUGCAUUUUUUAUUUUAUUUAUAAUAAAGUGAUUUGUUUACAAUAGAAAAUAACAUUUUUUUUUAGAUUUUUAAGGUUACACACAUCAUUACCAAAAAGAAAGAACAUUUCCAAAAAAAAAAAAACAAUUGACAGAGAGUACAAUUUAAAGACAUCAUCUUACACCUGGUAUAAGUUUUAAACAAAUAUUCUAGUGAAUGUUUUCAUUAUUAGCUUACUCAUCAAAUCUUCAAACUCCUCUGGUUUUUUCAACCUUUCAACCACACAAUUCAAUAGCUUCUCUAAUUUGAGAAGGAGGAAGUGUCACUGUAGUCCAAUCCAAUAGUGGAAUCCUCUGCUUUGGUUCUAGGGUGAUACAAAAUUUGUAUUUAUCCCUUUCCUAUUUGCCACAGUAUUUAGUGUUUCCAACACGUCCAAAUCAGGAAACCUCAGCUUUGCUUCCAAGAGUCCACCGUAAACUCCACUCAAGUAUGUUCUAUUUUCAGCUGAGGGUAUUAUCUCCAUCCCUUUAGGUGUCCAUUCAAUUCCAGAACCCUUCGCCAAGGCAAUGCUAAUGGUGUCAGCAAUAUCUAGAGAAGGAAAUCUAUUUUGUGCCUCAAAAACUCCAUCUUUCAUUCCUUCAUACCAUAAUUCUCGCGUUAUUGCUUCCUCCUCCUCACUUUCCUUAUGGCUAGAGGUUGGAGCUCCUCCAUCCAUCAUUCCUUGAUCAAAUAUCUCUCUCACCAUUUCUUCCACCAGAGGAGGUGAAUCCAAAUGUGGAAAGCUCGGCUUUGCUUCAGUGGGUGAUCCAAAAGUUUCUGUAAUCCCUUUCCUUUUUGCCACAGUAUUAAUUGUUGGCCACAUGUCCAAAUCAGGAAACAUCAGCUUUGCUUCUAAGAGUCCACUGUAAAUUCCACUUAUGUAUGUCCUGGUUUCAAUCGAUGUUUGCACUUCAUCUUCAGGUCUCCAUCUAACCCUAUAACCCUUCUCCAAAGCAGCUCUUCUGGUUUCAACAAUAUCAAGUGAAGGAAAUCUAAUAUGUGCCUCAAGAAGUCCAUCCUCCAUUCCUUCAACAAACAUCUCUCUCACUAUUUCUUCCACCCGAGGAUCGUAGCCUUCCUCCUCCUCACUUCCCGUAUGGCCAGAGGUUGAAGCUUCUUCUACAUUAUGCAGUUUCACUGGAUCCUUUAGUCUUAUCAACGCUAGAUCACCUAAUAUAGUAACUUUAGGCUUUCCAUCAUCAUUUUUUAGCACAUCUAGAAUCUGCCUCAGAGUGGAUUUUGGAUCUUUUAAAGCUGACCCUACUGCUUUUAAUGCAUUCUCAGCAUCCUGGGAUAUUCUCUGUAGUUCUCCCAAUACAAUUUGCAUGGAAUGGUUUUCAGCCAUUCCUUCAAACCCCCCUCUUCCUUUGUUGUCCAGCCAUUCAUUCAACGUCCUCUUAUAUGAUUCGUCCAAACCUAGACUCUCUAUCAUCAUUUUAUAUUCCUCCAUAUCAUCUUUUUUAGGAACUAUUGCCUGUGGCAUCUCGUCUGGAUCCAUGGGAUCGGGAGAAGCGAAUACGAGAUCAUCCAUUUUGGUUUUGUCUUCUUCAUACACAAAAGCUCCCCAACCACUUAUCACGAAGGAGGAAGUGGCUUUAUACGCAAUCUGCACCAGAUUCCACUCCUUCUUCAUCAGAAGUCGGUCAAGGCCAAGCCACUCCUUGUCACUGAACAAAACUCGUAGAUCAAAGAUCAAGAUGUGUUCUGCUUCAAUUCUGAAUUUGCGAGACCCUUUGCAAGGAACAUAUUGACCGUUGAUAAGUAAACGCAGAUCAACAACGCGACGACGAGCAAAUUUUUCCCUUUCACUCUCAUCUUGGAAGUGGAAGAUCAUGGCCAGAGCAAUGUUAGGGAACUUCUUACGAACCCAGAAACGAGGAUACCUUUGGACCCCCACAUAGUUAAACCAUUCUGGAAUCUCAGUUGUAAAUGGCAUCACCAGUUCUAUUCCACGUACCCCUUUCUUCUUCACCUAUCAGAUUAUUAUAACACUUUCAAUUGUCACUUCUAUAUUUAUUUUAGAAAAUUUGUAAAAUAUUAUUUUCAUAAAAUAAAGGUACAAGAUUUAACUUAAGUAAUAAACUCAUGCUACCUGAUUCCAUAACAUGUCUGAUGUCUCUCUAGUUAACUUGAAACAAAAUCUUGCGUCUACUUUCUGAACAGUUGACGACAACUCUGAAAUUUCUUCAAGGUUUGAACAAUGAUGAACAUAAAGAAUUCUCAAGUUAGUGAAUUCAGGAAUUUUUUUAAGCUUCUCACAUCCAUUCAGUUCGAGACUUGUCAAGUCACCACAUUCCUUGAUGCAUGAAGGGAUAGAAACAAAAUUGUUCUCUGAAGCAAUCAAUUCUUUCAAAUUUGGAAAGUAGCAAAGAAUAGCAAGAAGAUCUUCAUCAGACAAGUUAUCAUUUUCGACAUUCAGUGAUUGUAAUUUUGGACGAACAUCGGCUUUUGAAGGGUGCUGCACCAAACUUCUGAAGGAUUCUUGAAGUUUGGAGCAUGCUUCGAUUUUGAGGGAAACAACAUUUGGCAACUUGAAUAAGCUGCUUGGUAGACAUUUAAGUUCCCUGUUAUUUGAUAUGUCUAUACAUUCAAGCCCAGUAAGUUUACCAAUGGAUUCUGGAAGCUCUUGAAUAGCAGUAUUUAUCAUAUAAAUCUUCAAUGGCUUUGUCAUUUCUAGCCUUAUCUCCGGGAAGUGACCAAGGCUUUCACAUAAAUUAAGGUCAAAGACUUCUAAAGACGGCAGAAACAUUUUAGACACGAAUUUUUCGAGUUUUAUGCAUCCUGAAACACUUAAAUGAGCAAGCCUUUUCAGCUCACCAACAGAUUCAUGUACUGCAGUUAGCUCUCUACAAUGAUCAAGUCUCAGUUCUCUUAGAAUCUGAAGUUCAGACAUAUCAGGUAUUGUUUUGAUACUUUGGUUAUAUGAAAAGUCCAUAAUAGUCAAGCAUGGAAAUUUCUGCCAAAUAGAAAGUACAAAAAAUAUAUUAUUUGGAGCAUUUUGAGUUAUUAACUUAUUAAUGACAAUAAAUAUGGAAGUUUUUGUUCAAUGAAAAAUUGAAACAUAAAAAAUAGGAAAAUAUGAUAUAGAAUUGUACCUUAAAUGGCUCUUCCAAUGUUAGACGACUUCUAGGCAAAUUUAAAACAAUGAUGUUCUCUGGAUUAAAUUUUGGUGGGAAAGACUUUGAAGGACACUCUUCCCAGUCAAGAAGUCUUAAAUAAUUUGGUAAAUGUUCAAGUUCAGAUGAAAAUGAUGUGUUUCGAACAAUGAGAAUUCUGAGACAUUCCAUCUUCACCAACGCAGUACCACUCCAUUCUACUUCUUCUCGUUGAGGGGGAUCAAGCAUAAUCCCUUGAAUCUUAUCGCUUCCCUUUAACACAAGUACAAAGAAGCAACAUCAACUGCCUAUUAUCAGUAAUAUAAAUAAAAAACAAAAUAGAAUAAAAGAGUAGAGGAUUACAUAAUCUUUGGUUAGUAUUUCAAUAGCAUCUUCAUAAUACCAUAUUCUGCUACGUUUAGCAGGAUUUAUUGAUUCCUUCUUAACAAUCUCUCUACCCAUAUCUUGUAUUAGAUCAUGCAUCUUCAGACAGUCAUACUCGAUAGUUAUGAGAGAUUUAUUAAGAAGUACUUUCAUGUUGGUUGUUGGACAAAAUUCUAGAAGUAUCUUUUUCACAUAUUCCAUUCUCUCCCCUUUAAAGAAGCAAGCUAUGUCCAAGAAAAUUUGUUUGGCAUUAUCAUCCAAUCUAUCGUAGCUUAUUUUAAGCACAUCUUGAAUCUCUGUAUUUGGAGUCUUCUCAUAUUCUUUCAUUGCCAUUUCCCAAUCUCCUAAACUUUCAUGAAAAGCAGCUAAAUCAGAGCCUAUGACUUUUAAAGCCAGUGGAAGACCUUUGGCGUAAUCUACAGCACGCACAGACACAUCUUCAAAACCUGUUUUAGGAUAACUUUGUUUGAAGGCAUUCCAACAAAAUAGCUCUAAAGAAUGUUGGUCAUCAAGUUCCUUCAUUUCAUACUUAAGUUUAACUUGGUGAGCAAUUAGCACAUUUUCUUCCCUUGUCGUUAUAAUGAUCCUACUACCUGGACCAAACCAAUUGCACUCUCCUGCCAACUUUUCUAACUGGUCUUUAUCACCAACGUCAUCAAGAACCAAAAGAACUUUCUUUUUCUGAAGCUUUUCUUUUAUUUCACCCAUUCCUUUAAUUGUACUUCCCAAUUUAGUUUCCAACUCCUCAAACAUAUCAGAUAAAAGUGUCUUUUGUAGAUCUUCCAUGCCAUUGAUUCUGUUUGAUUUUUCUCUAACAUCGGAAAGAAAACUUGCAGCAUCAAAGUUUUGCACAAUUUUGUUAUACAAAGCUUUGGCAAGUUCCGUUUUUCCAAUUCCACCAAGUCCAUAUAUGCCCAACAUUCUUACAGUUUUAUCUUCAGCCUUCUUGUCCAAAAGUGACUUAACUUCUUCUAUGCAAGCCUCAAGUCCAACAGGGUUUUGACCACUAUAUAAAGGUUUAGGAGUUAUAUAUUCAUGGACCUUUCCAACAAUUUCUUCAAUACGAUAGCUUUCAUCAUCCCUAUAAGAGUAGAAUGUAUUAAUUAUUUGUUUGAUAUCAUGAUUUUUAAUUUAUUGUACUAAAUGAUAAGCAUUGUGAUUAUUGUACUAGAUAGUAAGCAUUGAUAUUAAGAACCAGUAGCACAAAAGAAUAAUGAUCACACAUCAUACAAAAUUUACUGGAGAUGAAAAAGUUAGAACAAUUUUAUUCUAAGAAAAAUACCUAAAUAUAAUAUCAAAUUAAAAUAAAAAUGGAUUUUGUUUUCCACUUUGAAAUUUUUAUUAGUUUUUUAUCUUUUAAAUUAUUUUUUAUAAUGUUCAAAAUUAUUAUUUAUGACUAACAAAAUCAAUUAACACCCUGGAAAAAUCUAAAAUUUAAAUGCAUAGUCGACCAUUUAACAUUUUUUAUAAAUUAUUAUAAUUAAGAUGUAGAAUGUUAUAUAUAACAAACUACAUAUGAUAAAAACAAUAUUACAUAUCCCAUUAUAAUUAAGAUGUAUAAUAUUAUACAUAACAAACUACACGUGAUAAAAACAAUAUUACAUACCAUAAAGUAUAUUACUUGAAAAAAAAUAUUUUUUUGAAAAGUAAAGUCCUACAUAACACCAACUUACUUUUGGUGUUUAACCUUUUAUAAAAGGCUAUAGUUAUUUUUUAACUAAAAUAAUUUAUUUUUGGAUGAGAGAAAAAAUGUUUUCUUUUAAAGUUUUCUUACCAAUUGUAUUUUUUUAAUAUAUAAGAGAAUAACGUGGUAGUUAUUGAGAAAAUAUUGUUAGAAUGUAAGGUGUUGAAUAAACGUAAUUGAUGGUGGAAGUAAGAAACAAGCAAUGGACAAAAAGACAAUCUAGAAUCUCUAAGCUAGGUGUGAAAGAACCCACUAAAUGGAAGUGUAGAGGCUAGGUGAUAGAAGGUUGGAUGUAGUAGUAGUAAGGAGUUCAUGGAAGAAUAGUGGUGUUGGUGGAUGUGGUAUACUCACUACGAAAACAACAUAUUAUCGACGGUCAAAAUCCAUAAAUAAUAAAUAAGACCAAAAAUUUGUCGAUACCUAUGAAAGAGCAACAAGCCAAAUUUCACCAAUAAUAUGCUUGUCGGUGAGUUUACCAAGAGAAAAAAUUAUUUAAGUAAUUAUUAAUAUUAUCAAUUAUUAUUUUUAAAAUACUAUUUAUCAUUAACAAAUUAUAUUAUUAUUUUCAAUUAUUAGAACACAUUACCAUUCUGAUUUUUAUUAUUCUUAUUAUUAAUAAUAAUAUAAAUAAUAAUAAUAUAUUAAAAAAUAUUAAUACUGAUAACACUAUUAUUAAUAUCAAUACAAAUAAUAUUAUUAUUAAUAUCAAUACAAAUAAUAAUAUUAUUAAUACUAAUACUAAUAAUAUUAACAAUAAUAAUAUUAUUAUUAUCAUUAAUAUUAUUAUAAUUAAUUAAUAAUAAUAUUAUUAUUAUUAAUUUUAUUAAUAUUAACAUUAGUAUUAUUAGAACUAAUAUUAUUAUUCAUCUUAUUAAUAUUAUAAUUAUUAAUAUAAUAUUAAUAAUAAUAUUAUUUUAAUUAUUAUUAUUAUUAAUAUAUUUAAUUUCUGUAGUCAUUAUUAAUUUUAUUAAUAUUAAUAUUAUUAGUAUUAUAUUUAUUAAUAUAAAUCUAAUAAGAAUAAUAAUAAUAGUAUUGGUAAUAAUUACAAUAAUCAUAAUAAUUAAUAUUAUAAUAUUAUUAAUAAAAUUAAUAAUAAUUACUAACUAUGCGUUCAAAUCCUAGUUUCAAGAUAAUAAUAUUGUAAUACUUUUUUCAUGUAAUAAUACAUAAUUAUUAUGUCAAAUUGCAAUGCCUAACAUAAAAUUUUCUAUAAUUUUUUUUAAUAAUAAUACUAAGUUAAUAUUAAUAAAAUUAAUAAUAAUUAUAAUAAUAUUAAUGAUGAUAAUAAUAACAUGGAUAAUAACAAGAAUAUUAAUAUUAAUAAUUAUAAUAUUAGUAAUAUGAAUAAUAAUUAUAAUAAUAUUAUUAAUAUUAAUAGUACUAAUAUUAUUAAUAAAAUUAACAAUAAUUACAGUAAUAUUGAUAUUAUUAGUAAUAAUAAAUACAGUAUUAUUAUUAUUAUUAUCAUUAAGAAUAAUAAUAACCAUAAUAAAACAAAAAAAUGAUUUUGAUUUAGUGGUUAUCAGCUGAGUGAAUCUGGACUAAACUGUGUCUUGUAGCAAAACAAAUUUUUUAUCAAACACAAAUAUGCCGGUAAAUGCGUCAAUAAUGUCAUAUGUCGGUAUAAUUUGUUGGUAAUAAAAAAUAUUGCCAAACAUAAAUUCAUCGGUAAUUCAAUAUUUUUUUUAAUAGGUGAUUUUAAGAAACAAGUUAAAAAGACGGAACUAGGAUUUAUAAUUUUAAAACAAAGAGGUAUGAAAUCAAAACAAGUAAAUCACUGUAACUCAUAUAGGUGAUUUGGAUAAAAUGGGAUUACUAAGUAAUCUAAAUGAGAAAGGAAUGAUGAAAGGGAAGAGGUUAUUUAGUGAACUUAUACGCGCUGGUAACAUAUAAGUCCUUGGAAAAAUAAAAGUCUCGAUCAAAAUGGAUUUAAUUUGGAGACUCAAACUCUAGGUAUUUUCAUGUUGUUACGGAUUGAAAAAUAAAUAGGAAUGAGAUUAAAAAGGUGUUGAAAACCUAGGGUAGUGGAGUGCAAACCCUAUCAUUGUUAAAAGCAAGGUAAAAGAGUUAUUCUAUGAGAGGCUAAUGUAGAUUACUAAAUUCAAUGUUAGGUUAAGGAAAAUUCUCUUCUAUUUCUAUUGGUGAUAAUAUAGUCUUUAACAUGUGGGUUUACGAAACUAGAAAUUAAGAAAACACUAGGCAAUGUAAGACUGAUUAAAGUCUGUGAGAUAACUAUAAAUUUGGCUUUACAAAGAAAUUAUGGGAGGUUGUAAAAGUGGAAAUCAUACAAUCUACCCACUCUUUUCAAAUUAGUGGGAAUAUUAUAAGGGAUGCAAAGUCUCUUUCAUAACACUUACACUCACUUAUACCUAAGGUAGACAAUUCAGGUAGUUUACAUGAAUUCAAAAUUGGUCUCCUUAGUUAGGUGUAGGUAAAUUGAACUUCCAAUAAUUCUACUUGUCGGAAAUGAAUGAUAAGGGAAAUAGGAUGUAAAUGUGUAUGUGGGUAGAGAUUAUUUUGAAUAUAUAGAAUCAUAGGAAUAAAAUUAUUUUUAAGAAUGACAUCGUAUAUGCAAAAGAGAUAUUUCUUUUGGCACAGACAAAAGUAUGAGCUUGGACAAGGAAUAAAUCUCUUAAUCAACUUUUACAUAUUCUUAUUGGUGUAUAUAUGCCCAACAACUUGCAUAAAAACCUAUCUAAAUAAUAUGGUAUACUCACUCAAAUGAAUAUAUACGAUUGCUAAUUGUAAGUUAUUUUCAGUUUGAGUCUUAUGAAUGAAGCAAUAAAGAUUGAGAUUUCUUGAGUACCAUACACAUCAACGAAUUAAAACCUUAUGUAUGCCAUAUGUAAAAAAAACUAGACAUUAAAGAAGGAGUGACAAUGAUUAGUAUAGGUUUAUGGUAAAUUCUUGUGGAGGGUAGUGAAGUGUUAUUAAGAAAAUCCUUAGAUACUUUAAAGCAACAUUAUACAUUGUAUUAUGAAGGAUGAGAAUUAUAUUUCAGAGAGUUAUAUUAUAUAUGAUUAAUUAUCCCAUAAAAUACAUGAUUUUUUCUAAAUAUGGGAUGAAAAAGAAAUAAGAUUGAAUGGUUUGUUAUACAUACCCGGUGGCAAUAUGCUUCCCUGGGAAGUCAACUGCUUGAGACAAGGCUGACCUCCAAUCCUGAAUUCUCUGUGAUUCAUGUGCCUUCAUGUGUUUUCCGAAGCUAUUUCUUUCGUGCCGUAUAUCUGAGGGAUCUACAUGGUAAAACACUGGGUAAACAAGCUGCUUCUUCUCCUUCAUCUUGCUGCGUUCUAUGAUCUUAACAAGUUCAUCCAGACACCGUGUGGAAGAUGCAUAGUUCUCAGAAAACACAACGAUGAAAAUCUUAGAUUCUUCAAUGGCCUUCGACAGAUCAGGUGGAAGACUUUCCCCUGUCCUCAUAUUCUUAUCAUCAUUGAAACUUUUUAUUCCCUUCCCAUCUAACUCUCUACGCAGAUGCCCUAUAAAAUUGUUCCUUGUAUCUUCUCCUCUAAAACUGAUGAACACAUCAUAGGUGAAACCAAGACGCUCUUCUUCCUCACCAUGUUCUCCCAUGCUACAAACACACCAAAACUACACUAUGGAUUCUCAACUACUUUCAUCAAUUUAGUGUGUUCUGAUUAAAUACACUUUCUUACGCGGAUACACGCUUUCCUGUCUCACUGAAUUAAGCUUCUAAAUUAUAGGGGUUGACCAAGAAUAAGACGAUGGGGAUAUAAUUAUUACAACUACCAAACAUAAUGGCUCGAUCUUGAAAAUAAAGAUGAUGGGAACAGAAAUAAUUCACGUGGUGCAUAUUUAAUGUGGUUUAAAUUGUACAGAAUUGGAUUUCUGUGUAUAAAAAUAUAGCGUUCAGAUUCAUGUGUAUUCAAUUUAAUUUAUAGUAUUGUUUUUCUAUACAUUGAAAGUUAGGUAAAGGAUAAAAUAUUCUAGAACGAAUUUAUUAAGUUUAAAAAAAACAAUUUAUUUAUUUAUGUUUAUUAUAUAUCUUUAGGCAUUGUUUAGACUAAUUUUAAUAUGUUUAGUUUUUUUUUUAUUUAUUCAUAUAUAUGCUGAUGUUUAUUUGUUACACAUUAAUAGUUGUUUUGUAAUUUAUUUAGUUAUUUUUUAUUUAUAUAUAUAUAUAUAUAUAUUUUAUAUAUAAAAUAGUGUAAAAAAACUCAUCAAAUAAAUCAACAAAUCUUGGAGUGGGAUAGAAAACUUUUUCUAUGUUAAAUGACUUCGAAGAAGGCGAUAUGAUAGUUUUUGAAACAGAGGUUAAAAUACCAAACAAUGAAAUUCGAGUUAUUCACCUUUUAGGAUGAGUUUUUUUUUUUAUAUAUAACUUUUUAUUCUCACUUAAUUUUCUCAAAAUUUGUGUUAGUUUGUUGAUACUUAAACAAUUUAUAUAUUUAAGUGUAUUGUUUAUGUUUAUGCAUUGUUUAUAUUAAUUUUAUUAUGUUUAGUUAUUUAUUUAUUCGUAUAUGCUCAUGCUUAUUUCUUAUAUAUUAAUAUUUGCUUUCUAAUUUUUUUUUUAAUUUUCUUAUUUACAUUUACAUAUAUAUAUAUAUAUAAUUAUGUAAAUUAUUUUUUUUAAUACAAAAUAAUGAAAGAAUACGCGUCAAAUGAAUCAACAAAACUUGGAGCGGGAUGAAAGAAUUUUCUGUAAGUUAAAUGACUCAAAGAAGACGAUAAGAUUGUUUUUGAAGCAGAUAUUAACCUACCAAAUAAUGAAAUUUGAGUUAUUAGUCUUUUAGGAUGAAUUUUUUUUUUACAUAAUUGUUUAUUUUUACUAACUUUCCUCAAAAUUUGUCUCAAUUUUUUGGUACUUGAACAACUUAUUUAUUUACGUGUAUUGUUUAUGUUUAUGUAUUGUUUAUAUUAAUUUUAUUAUGUUUAGUUGUUUAUUUAUUUGUAUAUGCUUAUGUUUAUUUCUGACAUAUUAAUAUUUUCUUUCUAAUUUUUUUGCAUUUUCUUAAUUACAUUUAUAUAUAUAAUUAUAUAAAUUAUAUUUUUAUAUAGAAUAGUGAAAAAAACGCGUCAAAUUAAUCAACAAAAUUUGGAGUGGGAUUGAAGAAUUUGGAUAAGAUUAAAGGAUUUCAAAGAAUAAAAUAAGAUUGUUUAACCUACCAAAUAAUGAAAUUUGAGUUAUUAGUAUUUUAGGAUGAUUUUUAUUUUUUACAUUAUUGUUUAUUGUUACUGAAUUUCCUCAAAAUUCGUGUAAGUUUGUUGAUACUUAAAAAAAUUAUUUAUUUCUGUGUAUGGUUUAUGUUUAUGUAUUGUUUAUAUUAAUUUUAUUAUGUUUAGUUGUUUAUUUAUCUGUAUAUGCUCAUGUUUAUUUCUUAUAUAUUAAUAUUUGCUUUCUAAUUAUUAUUUUUAUUUUCUUAUUUACAUUUAUAUAUAUAAUUAUAUAAAUUAUAUUUUUAUACAGAAUAGUGAAAGAAAAUACAUCAAAUAAAUCAACAAAAUGAAAAAAUUUAUGUAAAUUAAACGACUUCAAAAAAGACGAUAAGAUUGCUUUUGGAGUAGAAGUACCUACCAAAUAAUGAAAUUCGAGUUAUUAGCCUUUUAGAAACACUACAAAAGAUAUUUAUUCAUUACACACUGAUUAUUACAUACGGAUUUAGAUCCGUAUAUAAUUAUGGAUUUAUAUACGGAUAUUACAUACGGAUAAAAAUCAGUCACUAAAUUGUUUAUACAUACUGAUUUUUCUGUAUGUAAAAGUAAAUAAAUUUUAUAAAAUAUAUCCGUAUAAAAAAUAUGUAUGUAACAAAGAACAUCUGUUGCAUACAGAUAUUUUAAAUUUAUUUAUUAAAAAAAUAAGUUUUAGAAGUUUUGUCAUUUUUUCACUAAAACCCCAACGUUUGCCCCCAAAACCCGUGUGCCCUAAUUCUAUCUUCAGAAGUGGAGUGUGUGAAGCUCAAUCUUGAAGCAAAGGUGAAGCUCCGUCCGACCUUCUGAAAAAUACAAAGGUGAGUUUGUUCUUUAUCCUAAUAUCUGUUUGCAUGAUGUAUUUUGUGCCAACGAAUGGUAUGAAAAAGGAAGGCAAUGGUGGACACAUGAAUGACACUGUUUGGAAACCAUGAGUGCUGGCCUCCUUAUCUCUUUCCUUUUCGCAACCUUACUCACUCUCUCAUCCCCUUUUCUAUGUCACUGCCUCUCCUUAUAUUGAUGAAGAGUGAGAAGAAAAAAAAGAGUAGGUGAAGGUAGGUGGUGGGAAGUUGGGAGAGAAAUGAGGGAGUAGUGGAGAUUUUGGAAAGAGUGGGAGCAGGUGUAAGAGAGGCAGCAGGUGCAGAGUAAGUGGCGUGGAGAGUGUGGGUCAAAUGUUAGUAAUAUUUGACUGUCCCCAAACCCACAUUAUGGGAGCUUCAUGUACCAAACCACCCACACUUUGGAACUUUUGCUCCGUAAGACCAUAAAGGACCAUCUAAGUGGAGAAAAACUUGAUCUCCUUUUAGUGGGAUUCUUUACUUACAAUUGAUUAAUUCUACAUUGAACUCAUCAUCAACACUUAGAUUUUUACUUUUUCAAUUACUUGUUCCUAUAAUAUUAUUAAUUCUAAUCUAUGACAUUGCUUUCACAGAAUAGAGUUUCAUCUAAUUUCUUUGAAGGUUGUGUUUGUCCUAUCCCAUGUUUAUGCCUAUAAUAUUGCAUGUAUUGUUACUUACUUUUUACACAUAUAGACUUUGAGGAGCCAUGUUAAAUUUUCCAUUCUGUUAAAAUACCCGUGUUUUUUUGUUGCUCAUUUGCUUUUAUCAAACAAAACCAAUCCUUGGUCAUUCAUUAUAUGGAGGACAUAUAAGUUUUUGUUUUUUGUCUUUGGUCUUGAUAGAUGCUUUGUUUGAUUGUUAAUUUAUGCUAAGGAAAAUGAGAAAACAAUGGACAUUGAAUAGUAAUUGGAGGAGUUGGUGUUAAUGCAUGAUGCAGCUUUUGCAGAGAAUCUAAGGUCCAUCUGUGUGGGUGGAUAAGUGGGAAUUAGCACGCAGAGAACCUAACUAGUGUUCAUGGACAUCACUUUUAAACAAAGCACCCACAUGCCUCUUCUGUGAGACUACCACGUUUCCAUAUUGCAAGUCAUGUCCUUAUUUGGAAAGCUAAUCCAAAUACGUGUAAUCUCCUCGAAUAUGAAAGGGCAUAGACCAUAUUCUCUUUAAGCUAAAUACCUUUUUCCUUCCACAAGGGCCUAGGGCAGUUUCUUUGAAGCACCUUUUAGAGAUAACUCUAUUUAAUAUAUACAACAUCAUUGGUAGAAGAAGUACUUAUAAUUAGUGAAUCUAUAACUGCAAAAAGAUAAUAAUGUGGAUUAAACCCCUUGGAUUACCUAAUCUUGCCACUAUAUGUGGAUGAAGCACUCAUUCACUUUUCUAAGAGUAAAUUUAAUUCAAUGGAAAAUAGAACAAUUAUCACAAAACACAUAUUAUCACAAACACACAUGAAAUUACUUAUUAUCAUUAUACUACAUAAAGUUCAAAAUAACUUCAAUUCUAAACUACUCACCAAGAUUUUUACAAAAACGAAUGUGUUACAAACACAAUACACACUACAAGAAAACAGCCAAAUAGCUUCCAAAUUUCUGUGUGGGCCAUUUUCGGACGCUACUAUCGUCGGCCAAAAUGAGGAGAAACCCACGCAAAAAUGGCAAUGGAUGCAAAACGGACGCACUUAUGGAUUUAAUGUUUUUUUUUAAAACAAUCUAGUUUGCGUCGGCCCAGGCCCACGCAUAUGCGUCAGCAUGCGUCCCACGCAUAUGCGUCGGCCACGGCCCACGCAUAUGCGUCCGUCACAACCCACGCAAAGCCCACGCAUGUUUAUAUUUUAGGAUUUUAAAAUUAUUUAAUGUAUAACAAAUAUUUUAAUAUUUAAUUCUUUAUUUUAUUUAUUUUAAAAUUAUUUCUUUAAUAUUAUAAUAAAUUAUUUAAUUUAUCAAAUUUUAAUAUAAAUUAGUUAAAUUAAAAUUAUUAAAUUAAUUAAGCGUUUGAUUUAAAAUUAAUUUAGUAAAAGAAAAGAUCUAUUUAAAUUAUUUAAAUGUUAUAUAAAAUAUUUUAUUAUUUUAAAAAUUAUUUAUUUUAAACUUAUUUUAUUUAUAUAUUGUCAUAAAUAUAUAUUUUUUAAAUUAUGAUAUAAAUUAGUUAAAUUAAAUUUAUUAAAUUGAGGAAGUGUUUAAUUUUGAAAUUAUUUAAAUGAAGUUAUCUUAAAAAGUUUAUAAAGAUUUGAAAACAUGUAGAAAAAUAAUAAUUAAUUAAAAAAUAGUAAAAGAAAAGUAAAAAAAAAUGCGUAUUUAAAUUUUGUAAAUAUUAUAUAAAAUAUACAUAAAUUUAAGAAUAUAAAUUCAAGAUGAAGUAAUUAAUUAGUGCAAAUGGUAAUGGAUGUAUUUAAAAAUAGAGAAUAAAUUUUAUCUAAAAAUGUUUUAUUUGGUUUAAGAAAAAAAAGUUGGAUAAAACUUUUAAUUAGUAAUAUAACUUAAAUAAAUUUAAAUGUUAUAUGUGUGCAAUGGCUAAAUGAACUAGGAUUUUUUGUUUUGAUAUCCAUUAUAAUUUUAAAGAUGUUAUUUCUCAUAAAUGAAGCAUAAAAUCAUCUUAAAGAAUUAGCGAAAAUGUAUAUGAUACAAACAUAUUAAGACUAAGUGCGUGAGUAAGUAACUUAUUCUUAAUUCUUAAAUUAAUACAAUAUCCAAAGUGUUUCAAAGUUGACUAUAUGCUCUAUAAAUGUCAUUGUUAUAGUUACUAAGUAUGAUCUCUAAAAGAAAUUAAUGUUUUCCAACUGAAGCACAAAAUAAUGUAGUAAGUUGUAAGUAACGAGAUGACACAUAUGCAAUAUUCUUUAUAAGUGUGUUAAUAUAGUUUCCCAAUGUUCGCCUGAUAGCGAGAGUCGAGGGAGAAGCACGAAGACGAGAAGUACCCCAGUCAAGCACCCAACAACCUGCCCGACUGAGGGAAGAAGACGAAAACUUCAAUAGUUCUCUAGGUCCCAUCUCCCCAGCAGAAACAAAUUAAUAACCCUAGUCCAUUGUCAAGGUAAGAGUUAAACUAAGAAGUGCAUUAUAAAGGCUGAAAGAGAGUAUCAUAAGCAAUUUGAGAAAUAUGAGUCAUUUCGUGAUAGUUAUAGAAUUAACUUAGAAUCAUGGAAUAUAGUUGAUUAUUAGAUUUUGGAUUAUAAGUUAGAAAGGAUUAUAAGUUAGAUUUAACCACUAAACCAAGCAAAUUCUUUAGUAUUAUUAUAAUUUUAAUUAUACUUAUUAUUAUUAACAAUAUUAAUAAUAUUAACAAUAUUAUUAAUAUUAACAAUAUUAAUAAUAUUAAUUUUAAUAAUAUGAAUAUUAUUAAUAUUAAUACUAAUAAUAUUAAUAAUAUGUAUAAUAAUAUUAAUAAUAUUUAUAAUUAUAUUAAUAAUAUUUAUAAUUAUAUUAAUAAUAUUUAUAAUUAUAUUAAUAAUAUUUAUAAUUAUAUUAAUAAUAUUUAUAAUUAUAUUAAUAAUAUUUAUAAUUAUAUUAAUAAUAAUAUGACCAAAGAAUUUGUCUGGUCUAGUGGUUAAUGCUUCCCUAGUUACUGGAAGGACUUGAGUUUCGUGGCGUCAGAACCCAGAUUCUGCAUGUUGUGUCCGUUUUUUGCUUCCACGCUAAGUAUAUUUUUUUUUAUCUUUCUUUAGGUUGAUUGACUUGGUUCAUAAGAAUUAACAACAGAUCGAUUCUCAAAAUUGAAGGUGAAUGGAAUUUAAUCUUCAUUUUGGCAUAUUUUUAGUAUUAUAGUAAUUUGUAGCUAACUUGUUCACCCUGUUAUUAACAUGGACACUUCAAAUUUGUCUGUUGCAUUGAUUUAUAAUACUAGAACUUUGCUAGUUUGUAUAAUUGUAAAUGGUAUGAAAAGAAAACAUGAUAGGUACUGAAUCGUGAGACUACAUAAUACUGGUGUGAGACUGUAAAAUACUGUGUAUUUAUACUGUUGUAAUUUUGACUGGUGUAUACUGCUGUGUAUUGAAGUUUCUUGACUCUUUUGAGAAUAUAAAAAAGGCUCUCAAAGUUUAUUGUGGAGUUUUGCAUCUGAUCCAUGAUAACAAUUGCUCCCUCUAUCGAAUCCCUUUAUUUUCAUGAAAAAAAAAAUAAAAUAAAAAAAAUGAAAGUCUGUAAAUUUUGCAUUAGGUUUUCAACCUAUGCUAUAUAUGGACCUCUUUAUUGCAUUAUGGUGUGUGUAUGUUUAACUAAAUAAAAGAAUAAAAUAAAUCUUUACAAGGAACUGCAUAUUAAAUGUUGUUGGCAUGAACUUCUUUAGGUUUUUUGCUUUAAAGAAACUACAAUAAUAAAGCCAAGUAUAAUUUUUUUUAAUCUUCCUAGGUUGAUUGACUUGGUUCAUCAGUUGUUGGAUGAUCAGUUCUUCAUUUUGACAUAUUUUUAGUAUAGUAGUUAAUUUGUUUACCACCCCGGUUGUUAAUAUGGUCACUUUUAAUUUUAUCUGUAAUACAUUAUUUCUUUACUAGUUUGUAUAAUUGUAAAUAGUAUAAUUAAAGUUUUGCAUUAUGGUGUGUAAGGUUAUCUAAAUAAAGGAAUAAAAUAAAUUUAAAAUCUGACCACAGUUACAUACGGAUAUAUCUGUAUGUAAAUCUGAACACAGUUACAUAUAUUUGUAUGUAAAUCUGAACACAGUUACAUACAAAUAUAUCUGUAUGUAAGUCUGAUCACAGUUACAUACGGAUUUAUCCGUAUAUAACAAUUACCUACGAUAAUUUUAUAUACGAAUUUUUGUCCGUAUGUAACUAUGUUUUAUAUACAAAUUUAUUGAGUUACAUACGGAUUUGAGUUGUAUGUAAUACCAACUUUUCUUGUAGUGGAAGAAUCUCUUCUUUUACACAGUUGUUUAUUGUUACUGACUUUCCUUAAAAUUUAAGACAGUUUGUUGAUACUUGAACAAUUUAUUUAUUUACAGGUAUUGUUUAUGUUUAUGCGUUGUUUAUAUUAAUUUUAUUAUGUUUAGUUGUCUAUUUAAUCAAAUAUGCUCAUCUUUAUAUCUUAUAUAUUAAUAUUUGUUUUCUAAUUUUUUUAUUUUCUUAUUUACAUUUACAUUUAUAUAUAUAUAUAUAAUUAUAUAAAUUAUAUUUUUAUACAGAAAAGUGAAAGAAAACAAGCCAAAUAAAUUAACAAAACUUGGAAUGGAAUUGAAGAUUUUUUGUAUGUUAGAUUACUUCAAAGAAGACGAUAUGAUUGUUUUUGAAGCAGAGACUAACAUACCAAAUAAUGAAAUUCGAGUUAUUUUGCUUUAGGAUGAGCCAUUUUUUUACACAAUUGUUUAUUGUUACUUACUUUUCUCAAAAUUUGUGUCAGAUUGUUGAUACUUGAACAAUUUAUUUAUUUAUGUAUAUUAUUUGUGUUUAUGCAUUGUUUAUAUUAACUUUAGUAUGUUUAGUUUUUUUAUUUAUUGGCAUUUGCUGAUGUUUAUUUCUUAUAUAUUAAUAUUUGUUGUAUAAUUUUUUUUUCUCAUUUACAUUUACAUUUAUAUAUAUAAUUAUAUAAAUUGUAUUUUUAUACAAAAUAGUAAAUCAAAACGUGUCAAAUUAAUCAACAAAACAUGAUGCGCGAUGAAAGAAUUUGUGUAGGUUAAAUGAUUUCAAAGAAGACAAUAAGAUUAUUUUUGAAACAAAGGUUAACAUACUUAUAAUGAAAUUCGAGUUAUUCGACUUUUAGGAUGAGUCCUUUUUUACACAUAUGUUUAUUAUUACUUACUUUCCUAAAAAUUUGUGAGUUUGUUGAUACUUGAAGAAGUUAUCUAUUUACCUAUAUUAUUUAUCUUAAUGCAUUGUUUAUAUUAAUUUUAAUAUGUUUAUUUUUAUAUGCUAAUGUUUAUUUCUUAUAUAUUAAUAUUUGAUUUUUAAUUUUUUAUUUAGUUUCUUAUUUACAUUUAAAUUUAUAUAUAUAUAUAUAUAUUUAAUUAUAUAAAUUAUAUUUUUAUUCUAAACAAUGAAGAAAACGCACCAAAAAAAUCAACAAAACUUAGAAUGGGAUGUAAGAAUUUAUGUAUGUUAAAUGACUUUAAAGAAGACAAUAUAAUUAUUUUUUAAGCAAAUGUUAACAUACCAAAUAAUAAAAUUUGAUUUAUUCGUCUUUUAGGAUACAUCAUUUUUUACACAACUCUUUACUAUUACUUACUUUUCUCAAAAUUUGUGUCAGAUUAAUACUUGAAUAAUUUUAGUUACGUGCAUGAUUAUUUUUAAUGUAUUAUUUAUAUUAAUUUUUAUGAUAUUUAGUUUAUUUAUUUAUUAGAAUAUGUUUAUGUUGGUUUCUUAUAUAUUAAUAUUUGGUUUUUAAUUUUUUUAUUUUGCGUCUCUUUAUGUGUUUUAAAUUAUUAAUUAUUGUAAAAUUUAUUUUACUUUAUUUUUUAAUAUAUUGAUCUUAUCUAUUAUUAGUUUAUUAGUUUAUGUAAUUGUUAAUUAAUGUAAUUUUGACUUAUAAAUUAUGAUAGAACUCAUAUUAAGUUUCAGAAUGUCAAAAUUAAUAUUUUACGUUUUAGAAAAUCAAAUUUAAUUUAAUGUAAUAUAUGAAUUAAUUUUUCUAAAUUUAUUUAAUAUUAUAAUAUUAUUAUUUAAAUAUGAAAGUUUAGAAAAAAUAACCGUUUGUUGCACGGUCAAAGUUCUAGUAGAAAUACAAAUAGAGGGGCACGUGACGUCUCCUUUUGAUUACAGCUAAAUCCAGAAAUCUUUGAAGGGUCCCGGAAAAUGAUUCUUUCAUACUUCACCAGAUUCUUAACUGCUUUUCUAACGCACUCCAUAUGCCAUAAAGUGACACAAUAAUGUAAUCACCUUCCUUAUUAUCAUUUCAUUUAAUACAGUUUCUUACGCUGAUACAAGAUGGGGAUAUAGUUAUUACAACUACCAAACAUGAUGGCCCGAUCUAGAAAAUAAAGAUGAUGGGAACAUAAAUAUUUCACGUGGUGCAUAUUUAAUGUGGUUUAUAUUGUACGGAUUUGGAUUACUCUGCAUAAAAAUAUAGCAUUCUUAUUCAUGUGUAUUGAAUUCGAUUACAGUCUCUAAAAUUUUAAAAUCACCGACUCUCAAUUAAAUAACUAAGUUUAUUUUAUCUAUUAUAUUUAAGAUAACAGCUUUGACAUUUUUAAAUCUAAAACAUUUAAUUAACUCAAGAAUAUGUAAAUUUUUAAUUAGUAUAUUUUUUUAUGUAUUUUUUUAUAUAUAUUAAAAUCUAUACUAUAUUACUAGAACUAACUGAAAUGAAAUGGCGAAGAGACUCAACAGUAAAAAAAACUUGAAGAUGGUAAAUUGUUCAACUUAAAGCCAAAUUUUCCGAAAUGGCUGAAAAUAGAGACGAUACCCUUGGUAAUUUUUUACCAUGAUGGAGUUAUUUUUUCUUUUUUUACUAAAAUGGGGUCCGUUUUAAAAAAAUUACAAAUUUAGGCAAGUCGUGCCAAUUUGGUACGACUUCAUAUGCAGAAGUCGUCCCAAUUAGGUACGACUUUUGUCAUGUCAUACUAAAGUCGUGCCACUUGGCACGACUUCUGCCCUGUCAUACUAAAGUUGUGUCAACUUGGUACGACUUCUGCCUUGUCAUACUGAAGUCGUGCCCUAUCACUUCAUUCUCCACACCAUCAAAUUCCUUACACGUAUAACUUUUUACCUUCUCCUUCAGGUACUUUUUCCACUCCACCAAAUAUAUUUGGAACUUUGGCAUUCACCCCUCUUUCUGCAUAUAAUCCAACAUCAUUCAUGCACUAUCGACCCACAAUGCCCUCACCAACAUCUCAUAAUGAAGGCAAUAACAACGAUGAUGAACAUGUCGUUGAUGAUCCUCUUCCACGAAGACCUCGACAACAAAUACGAAGACCACAUUGUGUCACGUCUUCCCAUAAAUAAUUUACUUCUAGUUCAACUUUAUAGUUUUAUUUUAUAUCUUGUAAUGAAUCUUACUAAUUUGUUUAGUUCUAAUUAAUCUCUUCUCAUCAUUACGUGUUCUGUAAAAUCAUUAUUUCUCAAGCUAUUUAUUUUGCAAAUUCACAACAAUAAUUCUCUAUUUAUUUUCCAAAUACAAUAAAUUUUCAUUUAUGUAUUUAUUUCCAAAUUUAAUAACAAUUUUCUUCAUUUUUUAAUUAAUCAAAUAAUCAAGUUAUUGUAUUACAUUACCGUCAAACAUGAUUCAUACACGAUUAUCCCAUUUUUUGUUCCUUAAAACUAACACUCUUAGAAAAUUAUGUAUCAAAUUAAUUUUUAACAUUACAUAACUUACUACCCAAUAUAUAAAUAAUAAAAUUAAAAAAAAUUAUGACGUGGCAGAAGUCGUGCCAAGUUGGCACGACUUCAGUAUAACAUGGUUGAAGUCGUGCCAAGUUGACACGACUUUAGUAUGACAUGGCAGAAGUCGUGCCUAAUUAGGACGACUUCUGCAUAUGAAAUCGUACCGAAUUGACACAAUUUGCCUAAAUUUGUAAUUUUUUUUAAACGGACCCCAUUUUGGUAAAAACAAAAAAAAAAAUAACCCCAUCAUGGUCAAAAAACCUCAAAGGAUAACGUCAAGUUAAAUAUGUAAUAUGUAUGUAUGUCCUAACAUAUCCAACUCUCUUUUUAUUCGACCAUUUUUAUGUUAUGUAAUACAUUUAUUGUAUGUUGUAUCUCACCAAUCCUUCUGAAAAUUCUAUUGUGGUGUAAGAUUCGGUUUUCGUGCCUCUGACAUUGCCAUGCUUACUAAGUUAUCCUUCAUAAUUUGUCACAAUAUUGCUACUUAUCAAAGGAAAAGUUAUUUGAGCAAAAUACUUACUACUACAUGUCCUGUCUUUGAACUACUUUGAAUUUUUCAUAAACAACAACCUAACCAAACACGAUGCUUUAUAUCCUAUGUACUAUUUAUUUUUCUCAUUUUUAAAUAUAUCCCCUCUCUCACAUGCAUGAACUGACAGGUAUGUCAGGUGUAUUUUGAGGAGAACAAUUCAUCAGUAUCUUUGAUUGGAAGUCCGUUUAACAAAUGGGAUGACGCUUCGGAGGAAGAAUCGAAAGCCCAAAUAGAAGAUAGUGUUGGUGAAGGUUUUUCAGACUCCGAUUACUCAGAACAUGGUGGUAGGCAAGAAGAGAGAAGAGGAGAGGAGAUCGUUCAAUUUCCGACGGAAAAGAAGAGUUUCCAAAAGACGACGCAUGUAAUAGUGGGGGAAUUAAUUCUGUUGGGAAGAGCCAAAAUGUCACGUUGGAAAUGAGGAAAGAGAAAAUUUUUGUAUGGAAAACGUGUAAACCUAAUAAUUUUAUUACAAAAUAGAACAUAGAUAAAUAAAAGAGAACAAAAGAUGAACAAAAGAGUAAAAGGAAGGUAAAAAAUAUGAGAAUGAAUAUCUUUCUUUUCUUGUUAUUGAAAUCAAAACAAAUGGUCUGAAUAUAUACAAGUAGUACACUCAUUCUAGGUUUAACUAAAGAUGAAAAGAAUCAAUAAUUAAAUACUAGAAUCAUAACAAACAAAGACAAAAUAAAGGUUAUUCACCUCUAUAAAGAGAAACAACUGAUAAUUAGAAAAGAUACCCAAUUAAUAUUAAGAUUCUUCUAUAACUCUGGUAUCCGUAUCCUUUAAUACCCCGUCACAAGCUGGGGAGCAAAUAUUGAUGAGACCCAGCUUGGAACAAAUAUUCUUAAAAGAUUGAGGACUUAAAGCUUUGGUAUAAAUAUCAGCCAGUUGCUCUGUGGUGGAAAUGAGAAGCAAAUGAAUGAGACCCUUCUUUAAUUUUUCCCGGACCACGUGACAAUCUAUUUCUAUAUGUUUCGUACGCUCGUGAAACACUGGAUUUGCUGCAAUGUAUCUUGCUGAGUCAUUGUCACAGUAUAAAAGAGAUGGUUGCUCAAAAGGAACUUUGAAAUCUUGAAAAAGAUAAGUUAGCCAUUGAAUUUCACAUGUAACAGUGGUCAUUGCCUUGUAUUCAGCUUCACAAGAACUCUUUGAUAUUGUUCCUUGCUUCUUUGAUUUCCAAGAUAUGAGAGAAUUCCCAAGAUACACACUAAAACCAGUCACUGAUUGUCUUGAAUCACUACAGGUGCCCCAAUCACUAUCACAAAAGGCUUUCAGAUGAACAGAGGUAGUGGAAGAGAAAAAUAGACCAAGACUUGGAGCCCUUUGAUAUAUCUGAGAAUUCUAAUCGCUGCAUUAUAGUGAGCAAUUGUAGGCUUAGCAAGAAACUAAAAAGUUGUUGUACAAAAUUUUUUAUGUCAGGUCGGGUAUUAGUGAGAUACAUAAGUUUUCCAAUCAAUCUUCUGUAGGUUUGAAUAUAUGUGAAAGGAACACUUCCAGUAGAAGAGAAUUUCUCAUGAUUAUCAAUAGGAGUGGGUGUAGGUUUGCAGGCUAAAAGACCUGCAUAUGUUAAUAAUUCUAAUGCAUAUUUCCUUUGAUUUACCAUUAUUCCUGUCUUACCUUUUGCUACUUCUAGACCAAGAAAAUAUCUUAAAUUCCCAAGAUCUUUAAUCUUGAAUGUCUGAUUCAUGGCUUGUUUGAUUCGAGCAAUCUCUUCUUUAUCAUUUCCUGUCAAUAUUAUAUCAUCCACAUAUACCAAUAAUGCUGUAAAAGAUCCUUCAGAAUAAUUAAUGAACAAGGAAUGAUCAUUCAUAGAUUGAGUAUAUCCCAUAGAAAGCAAAAAUGAUGACAGUUUGGCAAAACCAUUAUCUACUGACUUGCUUAAGGCCAUGUAAAGCCUUUUUUAGUUUACAAACUUUUCCUGGUGGAAUAAAAGUCAUUCCAAGAGGAGCAACCAUGUAUACAUUUUCUUUUUCAAAUCUCCAUGUAAAAAGACAUUUUUAUGUCUAAUUGUUUCAAUUCCCAAUUAUAAAUAGAAGCUAAAGAAAGAAGCAACCUUAUGGUGGUCAUCUUUGCUACUGGAGAGAAAGUAUCAAGGUAGUCAAUGCCUUCUGUUUGUGUAUAUCCCUUUGCCACUAACCUUGCUUUAUACCUUUCAAUUGUCCCAUCAGCCUUAUAUUUUAUUUUGAAUACUCAUUUGCAACCUAUGGCACCUUUAUUCUUAGGCAGAAGAGCAGUCUCCCAAGUUUGAUUUGACUAUAAAGCAGAUAUCUCACAUUGUAUAACUUUUCUCCAACAUUCAUGUUUCACAGCUUCAUAAUAAGUGUUUGGCUCAACAUGUGAAGAAAGAGACAUAACAAAAGAUUUAUAAGGAGGUGAUAAAUUGCUAUAAGACAAAACAGAAUUAAAAGGAUAUUUAACUCUUGAAGAUGCACUGGAAACAUUAAGAUUACAAUGAUAAUCAAUACUCAGGUGGUCUUUUUAUUCUUGUGCUCAUUCGGAAAGAUGGAUCUGAUUUAGAACUUUGUUCUAUAUCAUGAUUUUCAUUGAGGUUUUGAUCUAUGUGGGAACAAUCUUCUUCUGAAACAUCAAUUUCUGACUCACAAUUAUUAUCACUGCUAUUUUCAACAUUAUCACAAGGUGUAUUAUCACAAGGUGCAAGAAUGGCUUGUGAUGACUGAUAUAAGACAGAUUGAUCUUCAGCAAACAAAAUUUGAUCAUUAAUGUCAGAACUGUUAGUUUCAUUGCUAGUAUCUUGAAUCCUUUGGUAUGGAAAAACAUGUUCAUAAAAGACAACAUCCCUAGACACAAAUUUCUCUUGAUUGAAUAUUCAACAAAAUAUAUCAUUUUGUCCCCCUUUGAAAACCAAUAAAAACACAUUUUGAUGCUCUUGGAUCAAAUUUUCUUCUAUUUGUUGACAAAGUGCUAGCAUAACAUAAAGAACCAAACACCUUUAAUCCAUUAAAAUUUGCAUCAGUUUUGAAAAGCAUUUCAUGAGGAGAAGAAUAGUUUAAAACAGGUGUGGAAAGCAUGUUUAUAAUAUGUGCAACAUGUAUCACAGAAUAUGACCAAUAAAUUUUGGGUAAAUGAGAUUGUAUCAUAAGAGCUCUUGCUACAUCUAAUAAAUGAUCAUGUUUCCUUUCAACUAUACUAUUUUUGUUGUGGAGUAUUGACACAUGAUGUUUGAUGUAUUAUUCCUUUACUGNNNNNNNNNNNNNNNNNNNNNNNNNNNNNNNNNNNNNNNNNNNNNNNNNNNNNNNNNNNNNNNNNNNNNNNNNNNNNNNNNNNNNNNNNNNNNNNNNNNNNNNNNNNNNNNNNNNCAGAUUUUUGUUUCAAAAGAAAAAUCCAUGUGUACCUCGAAUAGUCAUCAACUAUGGUCAAGAAAUAUUUAUGACCAUGAAUUGAUGGUAUUGAGUAUGGUCCCCAAAUAUCUACAUGAAUCAAAUCAAAACAUUUUUUUUUGCGAUUUAGAUGUACUAAUAGGAAAAGAAAGUAUUUUUUGCUUUGCAAAAUGACAAACAUCACAAACAAAAGAUUUGUUAUAUUUAACAUAAGGAAAUUUAUUCUUGAUAACAUUAAUACAUUUAUUUGAAAUAUGACCUAAUCGAAAAUGCCAAAGGGUUUCUAGAUCACUAGCACUAACAUUAACAGUAUUGAUGAUGUGUGUACAUUCAAGGGGUUUAAUUUGAAAUUUCCGGUGAGAUGGGAUCCUGAGUAUAUAAAGUCUAUCUUGCAUCUGAGCAGAACCAAUUAUUUUCAAGGAGUUUUUGUCUUGAAUGUGACAACCAUUAGAAUCAAAGGUAAGAACACAAGAUAGUCUAUCAAUCAGUUUUGUUACUAAAAGAAGAUUAAAAGUGAAGCAAGGAAUAUACAAAACAUUGUUUAUGACAUGAUCUUGAUUGAGAAAAACACUUCCAGAAUAAUUGGCAAUGACUUGGUUUCCAUUUGGUAAUUUGACAUAAAAAGGAUCAAUUUGAUGAUACGAAGUGAAGUAAGUUAAGGAUGAACAAAUGUGAUCAGUAGCACCACUAUCAAUAAUCCAAGAACUAAAAGAAGAAAUAAAGUUAUUACCAGUUUGUGUUGUCAUGAUGGAAGGAAUAACAAAGACUUGACUAGAAACAUUGUCACUGGAUUUGACCUGUUGUAAAAGAGCUAACAAUGUUUGAUACUGCUCAGGAGUAAAACCAAUUUGUUGAGACUCCACUUCUAACUUUGAACCUUCAUGAUUUUGCUCAUUAUUGUUAAAAUUUGUAUUGUGAAAGGCUGCAUGACUCUGAUGAUGGUUUUGAUUUUUAAAUUUGAAAUGAGGUGGAAAACCACGCUUUUUAUAGCAUGUAUCAAUGGUAUGCCCUGUCUUUCCACAAUAAAUGCAAAUUUUGGAAGUAUAUCCUCCUCCAUAGUUUCCUCUUCCAUAUCCACCACCCAUGCCAUAGGUCGUAGCAUUGUUAUUAUAACCUCCUUUGCUACUAGCAAUCAUUGCCUUGGAUUGAUCACCAAAAACUUGCCUCUAUUGUUGUGUAAUGAGAGAGUAAACUCUAUUCAAGGAUGAAUUAUCUUAUGAACUAACAUGGUAAGGUGAACAAAGAUCUUGUGAGGGAUCAACAACUUCACCCAUAGAUAAAUGUAGCAACCAAAGCUCUAAUCAGAGCUCUCUUUUCUUGUUAUUGAAAUCAAAACAAAUGGUUGAAUAUAUACAAGUAGUAUACUCAUUCUAGGUUUAACUAAAGAUGAAAAUAAUCAAUAAUUAAAUACUAGAAUCAGAACACACAAAGACAAAAUAAAGGUUAUUCACCUCUAUAAAGAGAAACAACUGAUAAUUAGAAAAGACAAUUAUUCUCCUCUAUAAAGAGAAACAAUUGAUAAUUAGAAAAGAUACCCAAUUAAUAUUAGGAUCCUUCUAUAACUCUGGUAUCUGUAUCCUUUAAUACAUUUCUUGGCAGAAAUUAAGUGCAAAAAGACUAAUGAUAGAGUAUGAGCAGAUGUCCUAAUUUGUAGUGGGUUGGUUUAGGCCUAACUGAAUGCAUACAGUUGGGUUAGGGAAACCCUAAUUUAUGACACAAUUGCUGACAUGGACUCACAACUAGAAAUUGUUAGACAAGGAGGAGCGACGAACUGGGUGGGAGACGACGCGGUUCCCCCUACGUCGCUGACGGUGGCUUACGACACUGGUUUCGAGGGCCUCGACAUCGACGAAGCCGACGCGGCUUCUCUUGCGCCGCCGGUAGCGGCUAAUGUAAUUGGUAUUGAGGAUCCCAACGCUGGUUAUACCUUGAAGUUGUCGGAGGCAGGCAGUGAGGGGCAACGAUUAUUGAUGGCGGUUGUCGAAGAUGCUAGAACAAUGAAGGAGGCAGGCGAUGGUGCAAUUAGUGACGGCCGUGGCGCGACUGUAGUGGCGAGCAAUGGCGAGAUUGGUGCUAGCAAUGACACGACUUCAGUGGUUGGAGAUGGCGCGACUAUAGUGUUUGGCAAUGGUGUCGGCGCGUCUGUAGGGGCGGAGCAGCGUGCGGCAGCGGCUGACGCUGUUAUGUAUGAUAGUUCCGGCAUGGGGCGCGGCAGUGGAGAGGAGGUGAGCGACGAAUGUGUGGUGGUAGUGGUGGCAAGGGUUACACAUGUUGAGGGAGAAGAAGGUGGGUUUGAUGACGAAAACAAAGGAUCUUUGGGGUGUGAGGCAAUCAGAGAAACAACAAGCGUGAUGGAGAGGAUGGGGUUAGUAUGGAGUAGAGAGGAUGAUGGAGCUGCAAAGACGUCCACUCAUAGGGGCACGAUAAGGGAGACUGAGACUUUUUUUUGCAAGUCACCCAGUGGGGAGGAUGAUGGCUAGUUUUGGCGGAAGGGUGGACGAUUUGCCUAAAUCGAGAGACGAAAGCUCACCGAGGAUUGAAAGGUUAUCUAUGUCAGAUUCACUAAAAUGCUUAAGAUCAGAAAUCAUUAUCUUAGACAAAGAUGCCAGAAAAUACAGUAGAAUGCUUUGGUUAAAAGAUGAGCAGGGCGAAGCUAGGAAGAGAUGGAAAGUUGGUAAGGAGAUGAGUUUCACACUGUUAAGUGAAGAAAAUGUGGUAUUAAAUAGGCUUAGCAGUUUGGAGAAUCGGGAUUGCAGGAAUUUGGAGAUGGAGAUUAAUGUUUUUUAUGAUGAGUCUAAUUAGUUUGAAUAUAAGAGGAGUAAGAGGAAAUAUAAAAAGAACAUACGUAAGAGAAUUAAUUAGAAAAGAGGAGGUUAGAAUGGUUUGUUUACAGGAAACAAAGUCCUUAGUGCUCAGUAAGAACAAUUGCUUUUAUAUGUGAGGUUCAAAUGAAAUUGAUUGGGUGGAGAAUGGUGCAGUAAAUAAUGUUGGUGGAAUCAUUACUAUGUGGAGAAGAAGUAGUUUUAAUAAGACAAGUUUUUUAAAUGGGAAAUGUUACUCUAUCAUCGAAGGAGUUUGGAAAGUAGGAGACGGGAUACACAUUACGAUAGUAAAUGUGUACAGUUCCAGCUCGUUGAAAGAAAGGAAGGAGGUUUGGGAUGAGUUACGAGAAAUCAGGAAGAACCAACAAAACAAGGUAUGGUGUGUUGUCGGGGAUUUUAAUUCAAUCAGAAGAAAAGAUGAGAGAAAAAGCGUAGUCUCAACAUCAGAUUAUAGUAGAGAGAUCAGGGAUUUUAAUGAUUUCAUUGAAAACACGGAGUUAUUGGAUAUUCCAAUGGUCGAAAAAAAGUUUACUUGGUAAAAGCCAAAUGGGACGGUCAAUAGCAGAAUUGACAGAAUUCUUGUCUCACCAGAAAGGUCUUUGAUCAUUGUGCUUUAGUUCUAAAAGUUUUAUCGGUGGAUUGGGGGCCUAAACCUUUCAGGAGUCUGGAUGUGUGGCAAAGGGAUAGUGGGUUCCUGGAUUUUGUUCGCAGUAAAUGGCAGAGCUAUGAGGUGUUUUGUGGAGGGAUGGUUGUUCUAAAAGAAAAAUUGAAAAAUUGAAAGCUAGAUUUGAAGAGGUGGAAUAGGGAGGUUUUCGAGAAUGUCAAUCGGGAAGGGGAAUCUAUACAAAAGAAGAUUCAAGAGUUGGACGCAAGAGACAAUGAAAGUGAGUUAGAUGAGCUGGGGAGGGAGGAGAGGGACUUUUGCUAGUGGAACAAAGUCGAAACCUUUUUACACAAGAAGCGGUCUUGCACCAAAAAGCAAGACUAAAGUGGUUGAAACAAGGCGAUCUAAACACUAAAUUUUUCCACUCCUCAGUGAAGUGGAGGAGAAUGAGAAACGGGAUCAACGGGGUACCUUAUGUGUUCAAUAUACACAAGGGAUUUACCCUACUCUUUCUUUUACUUUAAUAACUUACACAAUAUCCUUUAUUAUAUUACAUAAAUGCUCUGAUUAUAUCACAAAGUACUCCGAUUUAUAUCCAUGAUAUUCAGAUUAUAUGAAAGGAUACUAUGAUAUGUCACAUCAAAACCUGGAGAAACUAGUGUUAGAGAUCCAAGUCCAUGAAGGCUUAUAAAUAGAUGACCACUCAUAGGGAGUAAUCUCAACUCGAAUUUUGGCACUAUACUCACUAUAUAAACAAAAUUUGAUGCUCUUACUGAGUUGAGCGUCAGAGUAUUUUUUGCAGGUGGAGCCCCCCUCAUUCCUUGGAAGUUGAAUCACUAGAGCUUAAAGGGAGACUACCCGAAGCCCACUCAAAUUUAGAUUGACCUCAUCUCGGCGAGAACUGUAAUAGUCUAUCAUUUGAUUGAUAUUGAUGCGGUAUAAAAAUCAUUUAUAUUGAUUCCUCGCAUAUAAAAUUAUUAAGAGAGUCUCUUAAAUAUUGAUUCCUCGCAUAUUUAUAAAAAUUUCUUAUCAUUAUUAUUAGACGUUGAUAGCAAUUAACAUUUCAAAUCUAUUCCAAGUAUUCAAAUACGUUAAGCAUUAUCAUUUGGGUCAGAAACUUAGAAUUACUUUCCAGUCAUAAGAGUUUCAAAGAUGAACUUCAAUCCCAUUUUUCCCAAUUGAAGCAACAAACUCUUUGACUUGUGUUUUUUAAUCAUUGCAAUCAUAACAAACUCCCAACAAACUUUGUUAUUUUGUUUUCUAUUUAAUGAAUAUUUUACUUGAUUAUUCAAGUGUUCCUUGUGAGUUCGAUAUUCGUCCUUAAGGAUAAAUUAUUACUUCUGACAACACGGUGCACUUGUUGUAUCACAUAUUUAUAAAAACUUCUUAUCAUUACGAUUAGACGUUGAUAACAAUUAACAUUUCAAAUCUAUUCCCAACAUUCAAAAUAUGUUAAACAUUAUCAUUUGGGUCAGAAACUCAAGAGUAUUUUCCAGUCAAGAUCAAUCUAGAUCAUAGAAACAAACAUUACAAAUAAAAUGACAAUAACAAUCAUCAAUCAAGAACAAAAUAUUAUAUUUAAAUAUCAACUCAAUACAUAAGAGGAUGAAUUUCAAUCCCAAUUUUCAAAUUGAAGCAACAAAUUCUUGGACUUGUUUUCUAUUUAAUCAUUAUCAUCAUAACAAACUCCCAACAAACUUUGUUAUUUUGUUUUUUAUUUAGUGAAUCUUUUACUUAAUUAUUCAAUUGUUCCUUGUAGUUCUGAAAAUACAAUGCCCUUAUUAAAAUAGUUAUCACAUCUUGUCUCAAUACAUGGGGAUUGGGAGAAGCCAAUAGGAGAUCAUGUUUCCUCUUCAUACACAAAAGCUCCCCAACCACUUAUCACGAAGGAGGAAGUGGCUUUGUACUAAAUCUGCACCAGAUUUCACUCCUCCUCCAGAAGUCGGUCAAGGCCAACCCACUUCUUGUCACUGAACAAAACUCGUAGAUCAAAGAUCAAGAUGCGUUCUGCUUCAAUUCUGAAUUUGCGACACCCUUUGCAAGGAACAUAUCGAGUUAUUAACUUUGAAAGUCAAUAAAAAUAUUAUUUGCAGCAUUUUGAGUUAUUAACUUAUUAAUGACAAUAAAUAUGGAAGUUUUUGUUCAAUAAAAAAUUGAAACGUAAAAAAUGGGAAAAUAUGAUAUAGAAUUGUACCUUAAAUGGCUCUUCCAAUGUUAGACGACUUCUAGGCAAAUUUAAAACAAUGAUGUGCUUUGGAUUAAAUUUUGGUGGGAAAGACUUUGAAGGACACUCUUCCCAGUCAAGAAGUCUUAAAUAAUUUGGUAAAUGUUCAAGUUCAGAUGAAAAUUGUGUGUUUCGAACAAUGAGAAUUCUGAGACAUUCCAUCUUCACCAACUCAGUACCACUCCAUUCUACUUUUUCUCGUUGAGGGGGAUCAAGCAUAAACCCUUGAAUCAUAUCACUUCCCUUUAACACAAGUACAAAGAAGCAACAUCAACUGCCUAUUAUCAGUAAUAUAAAAUACUAUAAUCUAUAAAUAAAAAACAAAAUAGAAUAAAAGAGUAGAGGAUUACGUAAUCUUUUGUUAGUAUUUCAAUAGCAUCUUCAUAAUACCAUAUUCUGCUACGUUUAGCAGGAUUUGGUGAUUCCUGCUUAACAAUCUCUCUACCCAUAUCUUGUAUUAGAUCAUGCAUCUUCAGGCAGCCAUUCUCGACAGUUAUGAGAGAUUUAUUAAGAAGUAAUUUCAUGUUGGUUGUUGGACAAAAUUCUUGAAGUAUCUUUUUCACAUAUUCCAUUCUCUCCCCUUUAAAGAAGCAAGCUAUGUCCAAGAAAAUUUGUUGGGCAUUAUCAUCCAAUCUAUCGUAGCUUAUUUGAAGCACAUCUUGAAUCUUUGUAUUUGGAGUCUUCUCAUAUUCUUUCAUUGCCAUUUCCCAAUCUUCUAAACUUUCAUGAAAAGCAGCUAAAUCAGAGCCUAUGACUUUUAAAGCCAGUGGAAGACCUUUGGCGUAAUCUACAGCACGCACAGACACAUCUUCAAAACCUGUUUUAGGAUAACUUUGUCUGAAGGCAUUCCAACAAAAUAGCUGUAAAGAAUGUUGGUCAUCAAGUUCCUUCAUUUCAUACGUAGGUUUAACUUGGUGAGCAAUUAGCACAUUUUCUUCCCUUGUGGUUAUAAUGAUCCUACUACCUGGACCAAACCAAUUACACUCUCCUGCCAACUUUUCUAACUGGUCUUUAUCACCAACGUCAUCAAGAACCAAAAGAACUUUCUUUUUCUGAAGCUUUUCUUUUAUUUCACCCAUUCCUUUAAUUGUACUUUCCAAUUUAGUUUCCAACUCCUCAAACAUCUUAGAUAAAAGUGUCUUUUGUAGAUCUUCCAUGCCAUUGAUUCUGUUUGAUUUUUCUCUAACAUCGGAAAGAAAACUUGCUGCAUCAAAGUGUUGCACAAUUUUGUCAUACAAAGCUUUGGCAAGUUCCGUUUUUCCAAUUCCACCAAGUCCAUAUAUGCCCAACAUAUUUACAGUUUUAUCAUCAGGCUUCAUGUCUAAAAGUGACAUAACUUCUUCUAUGCAAGCCUCAAGUCCAAUAGGGUUUUGACCACUAUAUAAAGGUUUAGGAAUUAUAUAUUCAUGGACCUUCUCAACAAUUUCUUCAAUACAAUAGCUUUCAUCAUCCCUAUAAGAGUAGAAUGUAUUAAUUAAUUAUUUGUUUGAUAUCAUGAUUUUUUUUAUUGUACUAAGUGGUGAUUAUUGUACUAGAUUUUUUUUUAUCGGCAAUAAAAAAUAAAUAAAAUAAAAAUAGAACCACUUCAGGGGUGGUUUAACCCUUAUACAUAAAAAAGCUAAACCAGCUCCAACUAACGUCUUCCAAAAACCAACCCAACUCUUCUACCCCUUACAAAACCAAGCAAAAAACCUCAAGAAACUAACCUUGUACACUCCAAAGGAGCCAAACACCAGAAUAAGAAAACGAAACUAACCGGGAAUUUGUUGAAACCCAAGACCAAGCCUUUACCUGUGCCAACGCAAAGAGCUCUUUCUCGUCUGCCACUCCUCUAUUAAAAAUUAUACGAUUCCUGUGGCUCCAAAUCUCACUUAUCACCCCAACCCAAAUCGUGUUCCAAGCAACCAGACCCGUCUCCGAAGGUAAGCACAAUCUAAAUUGAUCAAAGUUGCACCUUGGUUCAAUAUGAGUCACAAACUGGAUUCCUAGCCACUUAAAACAUAAACACCAAACUCGCCAAGCAAACGAACAACCAAAGAACAGAUGGCUACUCGACUCCUCCUCCUUCCCGCACAACACGCACCUCAAGCUUUCUAAUCGAACCCCUCUUCUACUAAGAUUGACCCUGGUAGCUAGCUUGUUUUUCAACACCCUCCAAGCCAAAACCAUUGCAGAAGGAAUUGCUUUACUCCUCCACAACUUCCUAAGCUCCUGCGAAGAAACCGCUUCAAAAUCCUUCCUGAUAAGGUUGUAAGCAGAGCUAACGGUGUAAGACUGAACACCCCCACCCUUCCAAAUCCACCUAUCAGUCUCUCCAAGAACAACCUCAACCCCAAGCAGGAGCUGACUUAAUCGAUCCGCCGCCGGUUUCUCCCAUUCGAAAAAAGGCCUUCUCCAAUCAAGUCCCUAGACCCAUCUCCCAUCAGACCAAGACCCAAGAUCCGACAGUUUUGCAUGUUUGUUAGAGCUGAUUGAGAAAAGUCGUGGAAAAACAUUCUUCAACGCCUCACCCAUCAACUAGCUAUCCUUCCAGAAACAAAUGUCCAUCCCAUUCCCAAUCUUCCACUCAAAACUGUCUUCGAAACAUCUCCCCCACCCCUUCGAAUACCAAACUUCCUUCAAAUCCUUCCACCAAAGAGAACAACUCUUACCAUUACUUGCCACCCCCAGAUCUCUCCACCCCCCGUACUUAGAGAAAAUGAUGUCCUUCCAAAGUCCUACCUCAACCGAACCCAACCUCCAAAUCCACUUUCCCAACAAAGCCCCCCAAACUCACGAGGUUUACACACCAGGUUNNNNNNNNNNNNNNNNNNNNNNNNNNNNNNNNNNNNNNNNNNNNNNNNNNNNNNNNNNNNNNNNNNNNNNNNNNNNNNNNNNNNNNNNNNNNNNNNNNNNAGAAAAUCCCUUUGCAACUUGAUCAACUUACUUGCCACCCUAGUAGGCAAUCUGAACAAAGACAUAUAAAAUAACGGAAUAGCAGAAAGCACAAACCUAAUCAGACAAAUCCUCCCAGCCAUCAACAAACUUCUUCCCUUCCACCUGCUUAACCUAGCCUGCACUUUCUCAAUCACCCUGUUCCAAAACGUACCGCACUUGUGACUCCCUCCAACAGGCAGACCCAAGUAAAUGAACGGAGGGGCCAUCGUAUCACACCCAAGAAUCGCUGCAAAUCUCUGAAGUGUGGCCUGGUCCAUCCCCGUCCCUCCAAUCCUACUCUUCGCAAAAUUAACCCUUAACCCAGAAGAUAGCUCGAAACACUACAGGAUCGCCCUGAUAUUAAAGACACUUUUGGUAUUUGCUUCACAGAAGAACAAAGUGGCGUCCGCAUACUGUAACAUAUUUACCUUUACUUUACUCUUCCCAACCUCCAAACUGUCAAUCAACUUCUUUUCCUCUGCUACCCUUGUCACCCCAGCUAAACCCUCCGCCACAAUAAGGAAGAGAAAAGGGGCAAGCGGGUCGCCUUGACGUAGACCCUUUCUAGGAAAGAACUCCCUAGUUGGGCUUCCGUUUACAAGGACCGACACCGAAACUGACUCCAGGCAUCCCUUUAUCCAUCGAAUCCACCGAGCACAGAAACCCAACCUUCUUAACAUAUAAUAUAAAAAUUCCCAUUUCACCGAAUCGUAUGCCUUCUCGUAGUCGACUUUAAAGCAGAUACUUUGUUUUCUCUUUCUCUUGUACUCCUCAAGAANNNNNNNNNNNNNNNNNNNNNNNNNNNNNNNNNNNNNNNNNNNNNNNNNNNNNNNNNNNNNNNNNNNNNNNNNNNNNNNNNNNNNNNNNNNNNNNNNNNNUUCCAAUCACCUUUUUCAGGCGCAAGGAGAGCGCCUUUGAGAUGAUCUUAUACAGGCAACCUACUAAUGAGAUAGGUCUAAACUCCCCCAACUGUUGAGGAUUUUCAACUUUUGGAAUCAAACAAAGAAACGACGCAUUUGAUACUCUUGGCCAACAUCCAAAAUCAGCAAAGUCCUUUACUGCGUUCAUCACAUCCUUCUUCACAAUGUCCCAACAAGAUUUUAAAAAACAAAAGUUAAACCCGUCGGGACCAAGACUUUUUGAACUAUCACACCCCCAGAUCGCAUCUCUUACCUCAUCUUCCGAGAAAACGCUGACUAACAUAGCGUUAUCUGCUUCUGAUAUGGUAUUGAACCUGACAUUAUCCAAAGUGACCUGACAAACAUCGUUCCGGGCAAACCUUUCUUCAAAGUACUUACGAACCUUAUCCUUUACCUCCUCCUUAUCAUCACACCAUUUAUUAUUGUCGAAAAAUCCAUGUAACUGAUUCCUUGCCCUCCUCCACUUAACCGCAGAAUGAAAGAACUUUGUAUUAUGAUCCCCCUGCUUUAUCCAAUUCUGCUUUGCUUUCUAAAAUAAGAUCGCCUCUUGUUUGGAUCUGGACUCAGAUAGUUGAGCAAAUAGGGACUUUCUUUCAUCCUUUUCUGAUUCCAACAACCCGUCUUCGUCGUCACGAGAAUCUAACUCGUCUAACCUUUUCUAGAUUUCCUUACUAGCCUGAUCUCCGAAUACUUCCCUAUUCCACACCUUUAGGUCUGCUUUUAACUUUUUCAGCUUCUCUUUAAACACAAAAAUUCCCCCUCCCGUCACCUUGUAAGCAGACCAGCUCGAACUCACAAACUCCUUGAACCUGUGAUCCUUCAGCCAAACAUUCAAAAACCUAAACGGCUUCGGACCCCAAUCCACUGACACCUCCUUCAGAAUAACAGCACAAUGAUCUGAGAUUGAUCUAUUGAAGACAAAUUGUUGGCUGUUAGGCCACACCUCCAACCACUCCUUGGAGACCAGCACCCUGUCAAUCCUGCUUUUCACCAAACCAUUGGGUUUGAACCAAGUAAACUUCCUGCCCACCAACGGAAUAUCAACCAAUCCGAGCACGACACCAAACUCUUCCUUUCCUCCUGCCUUCUUAUACAAUUAAAGUCUCCAAUGAUGCACCAAGCCUUCGAUAACUGACCUUGUCUGAAACAACUGAUCUCGUUCCACAUCUCCUUCUUCUCUCGAAAAGAUCCUGAACAAUAAAUGUUCACGAUGGUUACUUGGGUUCCAAAACCCCUCUUCCAAACCCCUUCUAACACUGAAAAGUUCCUACCAUUCUUGAAACUGGACAACUGAAAAACCUUAUUGCUCCACAUCGUAAUCACCCUACCUGCUUUAUUAACUGCUUUGUUUUCCACCCAAUCCACUUCGUUAGUUCCCCAAAAAAGACACACCUUUUCCCUACUAAAAUCUGAACACUUUGUCUCUUGUAAACACGCCAUGUUCACCUGCUCCCUACUGAUCAAAUCCCUGACAUAAUUCUUUUUUACCGCCCCGCCUACCCCUCUGAUAUUCAGACUAAGAAUCUUCAUUAACAACCUUGCUCCUCUCUUUCCACAUUCUUCUCGUAGUCACCCCGCCUUGAUUAGAUAACGAAUAAAUACCAUCUAAAACUACCUCUUCUCGAUCGGCGAGCGAAAACCCAGCUUCUUUCCCUACUCCCCAGACACUUGCAGCCAAAUUCUUAUCUGUUUUCACCCAAAAAAUCAUGUUACAAUUCUCAAUUGCGCUAUCAGAAGUGAAAAGUGAAUUCGACGAGCUGCCUGUUUGAUGAACCAAAAACACUUGUUCCACUGAGGACUGUCUUCCUACGACUUCUCCAUCCAAACCCGUCACCCUGCCCUCCGUAUCUCCGUUGUUGCCUCCACCUUCCACUUCAUCUUCCAUACCUGCCCCCAAAUCCUCUAAUAGUCCUCCUGGAGGGAGGGCACACCCACCAUCUCUCGACUUUGACAUCUCUGACCUCCUUGCCCCCUCUGCAUCGACCAACUUUUCAGGAUCUACCAGUUCACUGUCAUUCAAACCUUGGACUACUGGAGACUUUGGGAUGUCCUUUACAGUUGCUACUGAACUCCCGUCGACUCCGUCUCUAAUCACACUGGUCCCAGACUGUUCCAAAUCAUUCAAAGAAGGACAUAUCCCUACCGAAUUAGCGACCCUACUCACUGAACUCGUCUGUCUUGAGACGCUCCCGACUUCUCCUUCUUCUUCUUCGUGACAACCAUCCUGGACACUCAAAUUCUCUUUGCACGGCUUCAUAAAUGCACUUUGGCACUUUAAAUCCCCCACCACUCCUUUCACACUUAGAACUCCAUUUUCCACGCACUUAAUCAUAGGGGGACACACUUUUAAAGAAGCGAGCCCACCAUCAUUAAUUUCCUGCAUUCCUACUUCUUGAAAUGGCUCUUGAGGUGGCGCUUGAAAAGACGCUCCAGCCCUCACAUUCCCUCUCAACAUGCACCUACUUUCACUUACCCCUCCAUUACUCCUUGCCUUAUCAUUCGCUGACUUGGACUCCUUGGAACUAGCCACCUCCACGUAGGAAUCCACUAUCUCUAUCUUUGAACAGCUAAGAGAACCGUGCCCACCCACUAACUCCACUCUCUUUCUCAAAGAAAUACCGUGCACAUUCAUUGGCCCUCUUAAAUUAUCUUGAAACCAUCCUUCACGCCCCUUACCAAGACAAACCGGGUCCACCAUGCCCUGGACCGUCUCUUCCAACUCCAAGCCUCCUUCCCCGACGGCACCCACACCUCCAUCUCCGGCCAACCCAAGCUCCGACCCCACUGAAUCGCACAAGCUUGCACCUACGCUUCCGUCAUCGGAGUUAGCUUCGGUGUCUACCUCUAAAGCUCCGCCAUUCCACUUGCCAAGACUCUGCUCCGGGACGGACAUCUCUUCAACAAAGGCAACCUUACAUGACCUACCAUUGAUGCACAACUCCUUCUCCAUAUUGACUGUUGAUCUUACCGAUGUUUUAACUCUAAACCGAGCAAACUCCACUGUUUCUCUUCUCUCAGUUACUUCGUCGACCUCCAUCACCUCUCCCACCACUACCCCUAUUUUGGAAAAACUAUGUUUGCACCAGAACUGUAGCGGGAUUCCACUGCAUCGUAUCCAUGCAAAACGUUCUUUUAGUUCGAAAGAACCAUCCCAGGGUGUAACCGCCGAGAACGCUUCGUCGAACCAAGACCUGUUGUCUGCAAUGAUCUUCUUCAGACUUCCUCCAUCAUCGCAAGACAGCAGAACGAACCUACCACCAAGAUAUCUUACUUUGACUAGGCUGAAACCUCCCAACACAAAGCUCUCCUUAAUCACUUGCAUGCUUGGAAGCUCUUUCAAACUACCAACGUAGCAUCUACUAACCAAUCGUCUUGUUCUACCUCCACUGUAACCUGAGAAUCAACGUCGCCCCCCAAAGAGCUACCCACAAUCUCGCCUGUUCCAAGCUUUCCUGCCCCCCCCCCCCCCCCGAAACCACUUGAGCGAACGAAACCUGCUCCGUUUGCUUCCCCUUCCCACUCGUUGUGCUCGUCAUUGGGUUCCUCCCUAAUCUGGACCCUUCAUUCCUUUGCUUCCUUGAACCAUCCUUCCUCUUAUAUUUGGGAAGGUUCACCUGCAUCUUCCAAGUGCCAAUCCAGAGUGCACUCAAUUCUCUUUCCAGGGAAAGAACAUCCUUCACACCCUGGAACCUUACAAAACCAAACUUCUUAUUCCUUGCAUUGAGCUUUCUUGAAACAAAGACAUCCAUAACCCUUCCCCACCUUUGGAAAACCUUCCAAAGAUCUCUCUCCAUGAAAUGCUCGGGGAAGUUAGUAAAGAAAAACGAAGUGUCCGCCAUUGUCGAAAGUUAACAAACCGCCUUUACUUACUCCGACCAUCGUGUUUCUCCGGUUACUAUUUUAUUGUACUAGAUAGUAAGCAAUGAUACUAAUAGCAAGUAGCACAAAAGAACAAUGAUUACACAUUAUACAAAAUUUACUGGAGAUGAAAAAGUUAGAGAAAUUUUAUUCUAAACAAAAAAUUCAAUAAUUUAUAAAGAAAAAUACCUAAAUAUAAUAUAAUAUUCAAAUAAAGAAUGAUUUUUUCCACUUUGGAUUUUUAUUAGUUUUUUAUCUUUUAAAUUAUACUUUUUAAUAUCCAGAAUUAUACUUUGUGACUAACAAAAUCAAUUAACACCCUGAAAAAAAUCUAAAGUUUAAGAUGUAGAAUAUUAUAUAUAACAAACUACACAUGAUAAAAACAAUAUUGCAUCCCAUUAUAAUUAAGAUGUAGAAUAUUAUAUAUAACAAACUACACGUGAUAAAAAUAAUAUUGCAUACCAUAAAGUAUAUUACUUGAAAUCAUUUUUGUUUGUGAAAAGUAAAGUCCUACAUAAGAUUAACUUAUUUUUGGUUUUUAACCUUUUAUAAAAGGCUAUAAUUAUUUUUUAACUAAAUUAAUUUAUUUUUGGAUGAGAGAAAAAUUAAGAGAGGAAAAAUAUUUUUUCUUUUAAAUUUUCUUACCAAUUGUAUUUUUUUUAUAAGAGAAGUAAAGUCUUACAUCUUAAUAGAUGAUAUAUGUGGAUGAUAAGUUAGUAAUAGUUUCCAACAAAGUUCGAAUAUGAGAAUUGAAGGGCAUUUGAUAAUAAGAAUUUAAGAUCAACAAUCUAAGAUUUUAGAAAUACUCACCAAUAUAGAAAAGAGAAAUGUUUUACUUCCUUAGAAUAAAAUAUUUCAAUCAACAACAUAAAAAAUUUAUGAUAAGAGGUAAAGCAAUACUCACCUGGGAGCAUGGUGCUUAGAAAAUCUAAGGAGGUGUUGAAGGAACCCAAGAGAACAACAUGGUACUCAUUGAGAAAAUAUUGUUAGAGUUUAUGGUGUUCAAUAAACACAAUUGAUGAUGGAAGUGAGAAACAACGAAAGAAAGACAAUCGAGACUCUCUAUGCUCUGUGUGAAAGAACCCAUUACAACAACGUUCAUUGAGGUAACAACUCAUACCAUUAACAACUUUCCAUUUGACUUUGCUAUUAAUAAUAGCAAUAGACUCUUUUGCUUACGAAAUGGAAGUGCAGAGGAUAUUAGGUUAUGUGAAUUAGGUUAGGAAAUCAGAAUUACAUUUAUAGGGUAGGAUGAAAAUAUCUUAAAGAUGAUUGAGAAAAUGAAGGGAAGAGACUGCGAAAUGAAAAUAUUAAAGGGAGAGAAGAGACAAUCCAAUUGAUGAAGAUAAUAUGUUUAAACAUUGUAGGGGAAUUGAUUAAUAAGGAGGAGGGUGGGGUAGUGUGCUAACAAGAAACCAAAUUGGAAAUAGUCAAUAAAGAAAGAUGCUACAAUAUGGGAAACGAUGACAUAAAAUGGGAACAUUUUGCAGUUGUAAAUGGAGUACAAGGAAUUUUAACUAUGUGGCCUAAGGAUACUUUCAUAUGUGAAACAUUGGUUAGAAACACAAGUUUUGUAAGGGUUAAGGAAAGGUACAAAAAGAAUAAUAUGUCAAUAGUAAUACUAAAUGUGUAGUUCCCUUAGAGAAAUGUUAGAGAAAUGUGACUAAAUUAUGUCUUGAAGCAAAAUGAACUUUUUUAUCUUUAACAAGUUUUACGUCCAAUUAUGAUAGAUAUUGAUUUGCGCUCAAAUUUUUUUUUUAGAUUCGUGGGUAAUUAUUUAUGGACACAAAUAUGUCAGUAAAUGUCUAACAUUAUCUAUUGGUACAAUUCGUCGAUAAUAAAAUAAUAUCGACGAACAUAAAUCUGUCAAUAAAUUUUCAUUAGUAAUUCAAUAAUUUUUUGUAGUAGGUGGUUUUAAGAGAAAAAUUAAAAAGAUUUAAGCAUGACUUAAAAGUUUGGAAUAAAGAGGAAUUUGGUAAUGUAAACCAAAUCAAGCAAACCACUAUAACUCAUAGAGGUGAUUUUGACAAAAUGGAUUACUCAAAUGAUCUAUAUGAGAAAGGAAUGAUGGAAAGGAAGAAACUCUUUAGUGAACUCAAACUCAUAGACUAGCAACAUAAGUCCUUGGAGAAAUAAAUUCAAUGUUAGGCUAAUGAACAUUAUCUUCUAUUUCUCCUAGUGAUAAUAUAGUCCUAACAAGACAAAAUAGAAAUUAAGAAAGCACUAGGCAUGUUGUGUGGAAUAUGUGCAACAAGUAUGUUGGAGUAAGUACUGCUACUCAAAAUCAUGUAAAGUUGAACUUUCAACAAUUCUACUUGUCGAGAAUGAAUGACAAAGGAAAUAGGAUAUGGGGGUGUAUGUGGAUAGAGAUCUUUUUUUUGGAUUAUAUAGAAUCAAAGGAAUAAAAAUAUCUUUAAGAAUGAGACCGUAUAUGAAGAGAUAUUUUUUUUACACAAAUAAAAGUAUAAGCUUGGACAAGGAAUAGAUCUUUAUCAACUUUCACAUAAAACCCCUAUAUAAAUAAUAUGGUAUACUCGCACAAUGGGCAUAUGCAAUUGUUAUCAAUUAUAAGUUUUUUUCAAGUUUGAGUCACUAAGAGUUGAGAUUUAUCGAGUACCAUAGACAUCAACGAUGUAAAACCUUAUGUACGACAUAUGUAAAAAAACUAAACUUUAAAUAAGGAGUGACAACAAUUAGUAUAGGUUUAUGGUAAAUUCUGAUACUGAGAUGUGAAGUGUUAUUAAGAGGAUCCUUAGAUACUUCAGAGGAACCUCAGACAUUGUAUUAUGUUUUGAAAUAUCAGAAUUAGAUAUGAUCUUUAUUAAAUGAAGUCUAUUAGUGACUAUGUGUGUAUACUUAUAGGUGGAGCAAUAUGUUAAUUAUUCAAGUUGGAUGAUUUUAUAAUUUUGUCUAGUACAUAAAUUGAAAACAUAAAAGGCAUCCAAGCAUACAUGAAAGCUAUCUAAAUUCAAAGGUAUACAUGAAAGCUAUCUAAAUUCAAAGGUUAAUUGAUGAACUAAGACAUAAAGCAACAAAAAAAAAAAUAUUCUAAUAGUGAAAAUGCAUUUACACAUAACAAUAAUAGUGAAAAUGUAUUCUAUUCGAUAGAUAAUAUACUAUUUUUUUAUUUUAGAUUUAUAAGGUGGUUAUAUUAUAAUUUUAUUUCUUUAAUUUUAUAAAGUUACUUUAUUAAUUUUAUUUUAGUUGUAAAUAAUUAUCCCAUAAAAUACAUGAUUUUUUCGAAAUAUGGGAUGAAAAAGAAAUAACAUUGAAUGGUUUGUUAUACAUACCCGGUGGUAAUAAUAUGCCUCCCUGGGAAGUCAAAAGCUUGAGACAAGGCUGACCUCCAAGCCUGCAUUUUCUGUGAUUCUUUUCCAAUCUCAUGUUCAUGUGCCUUCAUGUGUUUUCCGAAGCUGUUUCUCUCGUGCCGUAUAUCUGAGGGAUCUACAUGGUAAAACACUGGGUAAACAAGCUGCUUCUUCUCCUUCAUUUUGCUGCGUUCUAUGAUCCUAACAAGUUCAUCCAGACACCGUGUAGAAGAUGCAUAGUUCUCAGAAAACACAACGAUGAAAAUCUUAGAUUCUUCAAUGGCCUUCGACAGAGCAGGUGGAAGACUUUCCCCUAUCCUCAUAUUCCUAUCAUCAUUGAAACUUUUUAUUCCCCUCCUACCCAACUCUCUACGCAGAUGCCCUAUAAAAGUGUACCUUGUAUCUUCCCCUCUAAAACUGAUGAACAAGGAAAUUUGUUUGGCCUUAUCAUCCAAUUUAUCGUAGCUUAUUUUAAGCACAUCUUGAAUCUUUUUAUUUGGAGUCCUCUCAUAUUCUUCCAUUGCCAUUUCCCAAUCUUCUAAACUUUCAUGAAAAGUAGCUAAAUCAGAGCCUAUCCUUUUUAAAGCCAGUGGAAGACCUUUGGCGUAAUCUACAGCACGCAGAGACACAUCUUCAAAACCUGUUUUAGGAUAACUUUGUCUGAAGGCAUUCCAACAAAAUAGCUCUAAAGAAUGUAGGUCAUCAAGUUCCUUCAUUUCAUACAUAUUUUUAACUUGGUGAGAAAUUAGCACAUCUUUUUCCCUUGUCGUUAUAAUGAUUCUACUACCUGGACCAAACCAUUUACCCCCUCCUGCCAAAUUUUCUAACUGGUCUUUAUCACCAACGUCAUCAAGAACCAAAAGAACUUUCUUUUUCUGAAGCUUUUCUUCUAUUUCAGUCAUUCCUUUACUUGUACUUCCCAAUUCAGUUUCCAACUCCUCAAAC
rnacentral:lncRNA from 1 species